UAUGGCUCUGGCAUUUCAAAAGUUAUAUCAACUGUAUCCCCGCUUUGCAAAUUGAGCUUAUCGUUCGAUAUUUGUCCCUGCCAAAGAAAACAUUCUUUAUAUACAACAUCGCGCAUGAGGUUUUUUCUUUUUUUGGCGUAACAAUCGCGCAUUUUUAUAACCCAAUCUUCCUUGCUUAUGCAGGUCCGCAACUCAGUACGCUUGGUAUUAUUUAUAUCAAUCCUGGCAAGAGGAUGACUAUCUUUACAUCUGAUAUAAGGGCCGAACUGAGAAGGACUUGAGCAAUAAAAGCAUAACAGAGUCAGCCCUUCAAAAUUACAACCAUCACUCGGGGGGAUAUCAAAAGUGAUUUUAUUACCAUCGUUGACAAACUCGAACCAAUCAGGAACAUAAUUCCCAUUGAGAAAAAUGCCACCAUAUCCGCAAGAAGUCCAUCCCUAUAUACACAGUGCAAGUGUCAUAUAUAUAUACAUGUACAUGUGCGUUGUGUGUGUGCAUGUGCCCAAUAGGAAGACAAUUAAAGAGAGAGAUACCUUUAGGACUUUCCUCAUAAAAUCAGCGGUGAGUUCGGCGCAAUACGUCAUAUCAAUCCAUGUCAUGGAGUUUAAUGACUUAUCCAAGUCUGGAACCUCAGUGAGUGCAUGUGAAUCACGUACAUUUAGCUCUCUUAUAUUCGACAUUUUCGAAAAAUUUGGCAUUGUUAUCAAACGAUAGCAACGAGACGCAUCCAGAAAUUUCAAAUUUGUUGGUAAACCAUAGAUUGUAUGAAGGUUAUGGCAGUAACCUAACCACAAAUUUUCAAGCUUUGAAAGACCACUGAGGCUGGGUAGGGUAUGAAAAUCAUUAGAUGAGAGAUCUAAAUUUCUUAAAAAGUCUAAGCUGAGUAACGAAUCGGGAAAUUGCAAAUGAGUGAGAUUCGUCAAUCCUAGAGAUAAAUGAGUGAGAUUCUUCAAUCUUACUGUGGAACGCGGUACUUGUCUUAUGGCUGUCUCAUAUGCUUUAAGUACUCUCAAUGAUAUCAUAUUCCCUAAAUCCUCGGACAGUUCACUGAAUUGCCCACAAAAAAUCAAGAACAAGAGUCUGAACGGAUUUGGACCUGUAGAAAUCCCCAGGAAGAGAAAUAAGAUUCUUGCAGCCUGUGAGGUUCACCAAAGAAAGUUUUUUAAGAUGACCAAUGGAGGGGUGAAUCUCGGACAAACUCUCACACCAUUCCAAUAUCAACUCUUCAAGACUUGGGAGAUUUGAUAAGUCUGGUGAUUUUUCUAAGUCAGAGCAACCACUGAAAUCAAGGAUUUUCAAGUUUUUAAGCGACUGUUGCACAAAAUCCAAGAAAAAUUAAAAUUAAUAUCCAAAAGGAAUAUCUCAUAAAAUAAAUAAAUAAAGAGAGAAGGAAAUCCAAAAACAAAUAGAAACUUAACAUCAUCAUGUGUAAUCGAUUGUACCUUCGAGCCCUCCCAAACUUGUACCAGUUUGCUAUACUUUAUCUCUAAAAUAACUAGUCUUGGUUGAUCAAAGAAGUCAUCUGGUAUGGACUUUAAAGGGCAUUCAUUCCAACACAACCAUAUUAACUCUUUGGGGAGAUGUUUGUAUUCUCCAUUGAGUUGCACGUUGUAGAGCUGGAGCAGUCUCAGUUUCUUCAUAUUGGCAAAUGCUUCUGUACUGAUACUUGGAGACAGAAGAUCAGGGAAACCUACAACAAGUCCUUCAACUUCUUUAGUUCCCUGUUAACAACACAUUAUACUGGGUAAGAAAAGGAUUAUGUGCAUCUAUUUUACGUGAUUUUGCUAAUUGAGCUUCUUAAUGCGAAUACAUAUAUUUACACAUAAAGGUCGUACCCAGUGCACAAGGCUCCCGCUUUACGCAGGGUCUGGGAGAGGUGAAUGUCGGCUAGCCUUACCCCCAUUUAUGGAGAGGCUGCUCCCAAGUCUCGAACCCGAGACCUACCGCUCAUGGGCGAAGGCACUUGCCAUCGCACCAAGUGCGACCUCUGAAUACAUAUAUUUACACAUAAAUGUUUUUAAUGUAUGACAGCUAUACGUGGGUUACAUAUUUGCUUUUCUUGUACGAUGCAUUAAUACAAAAUUUUAUAGGGAAUGUACUUACAGAUUUAUCUCUCAAUACAUCAGUGACCUCCUGCUGGUUCCACAACCUACUCCAUUCUCCAGGGUGACGAGGGGAUUUUUCAGAAAUGAUUAAUUUGGCCAUUUCUCGAAGCAAAUCAUGUAUAUUCAACUUGUUGUCUUCAACAGUUAUAAGGCAUCAUUCACGAAGGACACUCAUUCCUAUUGUCGCAAAAAAGUCACAUCCAUCUAAUAUUUUUGUGACAUAGUCAUUAUCCCAUCCAAUGAAGAAACAAGAUAUGUCAAGGAAUAUAGCCUUCUGUUUAUCAUCUAGCCCUUCAAAGCUUAUUCUUAGUCGUUGUAUUAUUUCUCCUUCAGGAGUUGUUUUCAAUUUUACCAAUUGAUUUUCCCACUCUGCUAUGGUUCUUCCAAUUAAAAAAGUGCCUAAAACUUCAAGUGCUAGUGGCAAACCUCCACAGUAAGAAACGAUCUUCCUUGAGAGUUCAAGAUAUCCUUCAUUAGGCCAACAAUUUCUAAAGGCAUGCCAACUAAAGAGCUCCAGAGCUUCUUCUUCAUUCAUUUUAUGAAGCGGAUAUAUCUUGUCCACUCCAACUUGGCGUAGUAAAUGUUCAUCUCGUGUCGUUAUGAUAAUUCUACUUCCUAAGCCAAACCAAUCACAAUUUCCAGCUAUUGCAUUUAGUUGUUUCAUUUUGUCUACAUUGUCAAUAAUGACAAGUACGCUUCUACGUUGGAGAUGAUAUUUUAUCAGGCCGAUACCUUCAUCAACACUGGUUAUCUCAGGCUUGGUCUGUUUCAAGAUGUCAGAAACAAGUUUUUUUUGCGAAACAACCAGAUCUUUUUCACUAACGUUGUCAAGGAAACUUUUGAAUUGGAACUCAUGAUGAAUUUUGUUAUAAAUGGCUUUGGCAGCUGUUGUUUUACCCAAUCCACCCAUCCCCCCAAAUUCCAACCAUGCGAACAUCAUCUGAUCCACCACUUGAAAGAUAACUGAUAAUAUCUUGAACGCGAGAAUUGAUUCCAACCAGGUGAUUGGCCACAUGUAAUUUGUUUGCUCUCCGAAGCCAUUCCGGAAUAAUCUUGUCAACAAUUUCUCUAAUACGCUGUGCUUCGCAACUGAAAAUUGAAUUGGCAAGCUUAGUAAGCUCAGUAGGAGCUAUUAGUACACAAACAAUUUUCUUUCCUUCGUGUGUGUGUGUGUGUGUGUGUGUGUGUGUGUGUGUAUACACACUAACUAGCUACUAGCUAGUAUGUGAGUUUGUGAUCAACUUCAAUAAAAGAAACAAAUUCAUUCACUGAUAUAUUAAAGUUUGGUGUAUCAAUUAAACUCAUUAUGGUUUAGAUUUUAGAAGAAAUUGGAGAAAUGGUCCAUGAACUAUGAUCGAAUUGUAGCUUUGGUUCUUAAACUAAAAAUUCAUUAAAUCUCGUCCCUGAACUUAACAAAAUAUGGAACAUUGGUCCCUCCAUGUUAACACCGUAAGAUUUUCUGUUAAUUUGAUAACGUCGUCUUUGUGGGCUCCAUAUUUUUGUUUAUUAGAUGCCACGUUGCUUGAAAAUUCAAAUAAAAGAAAAUAAAUACAAGCAUUGAGAAACAAAGAGAAAAAAAAAUACUUUAAAUUAUAAAAGUUAACUCUCUCCCAUCCUCCCUUCCGCCUCACCUUCUCCAAACCCCAGCCACACCAUUGUAGCACUUUCCCAACAGCCAAAACAAAAGAAAAGUUCCUCAUCCAAAUUUGGAACACACCUCACCUUGCAAACGACUUCACAAUGACAUUCAUCUACGCUGUCUCGAAAGGUAAGAUUCAAGAAAUUUGUGGGAUGCGGGUUCGGGGUUCGGGUGAAGGCUGUGGUCCGUGGGCUAAAGGUUGGGGUCGGCUGGGGAGUGGGGAUUAGGGAUUGGGGGUUGGAAGUGGGAGGUUGACGGGGUGGGAAUCAACGAUUGAAGGUGAAGGGGUGGGCUGCGAGCCUGCGAGUGUUGGUGGGAUGAGGUAGGCCUGCAAUUAUAUAUAUAUAUGUAUGUAUGUAUGUAUGUAUGUAUGUAUGUAUAUAUAUAUGUAUGUAUGUAUAUAUGUAUAUAUAUGUAUGUAUAUAUAAUAUAGGUGAAACUAACAUGUAAAGUUGUAAACACUUUUAACUAAAACUGAAAGGAAUUGGUUACGAAGGACUAACGCUCCAUAUUUUAUCAAGUUCAAGGACAAAAUAUAAUGAAAUUUUAGUUUAGGAACCAAAGCUACAAUUUUCCUCUAGAUUUGAUAUGAGAUUUAAGGCGUAUUAAUUAAGCAUGUUAAUUAGAGUAAUGCAACUUAGAUAUUGAAAAGCACGUGAAUGAUUACCUAUUAUCAGUGAUUUGAAGAUGGUAGCCAGACAAAUUUGCAGCUUCUCUAAGAGCAUUUCUCCACUGCUUUACCCUUUCUUGUUUUUCUUCACGUUUCUUGUCAUCUUUUUCUUUACGAAUGUUCUUUUUGUGUUUCUUAAAUGCUUGGGCUAAAACUCCAUUCUGGUUCCUGACAUGUGAAGGAUCAACGUGAUAGAAUAUUGGCAAAACAUGGCGCUCCAGUUUGUCUCUGCACUCGAUGAUCUUCAUCAGCUCAUUAAGACACCAACUCGAACUCGCAUACCUCUUUGAGAAGACAAUGAUAGAGAUCUUCGAUUCUUCGAUUGCCUGGAACAGUUCUUUUUGUAUUUCUUCCCCUCUUUUUAGAUCGUCCUCAUCAAUAUAAGCCUGGUAUCCCCUGUCCGUUAAUGCCCUGUGGAGGUGGCCCGUGAAACCAUUGCGUGUGUCUACACCGCUGAAGCUCAAGAACACGUCGUAAUUCCAAAGUUUUGACUUGGAGGACGAUGAAGAGGAGGCUUCGUGGGUCGUCAUGGCGGUAUCCACCAUUAUGGCGCUGCAGUGGUUCAGAUCACGACUGAAAAAUGGCAGUAGUUGUGCUCGUGCUGUCGAACGGAUGAUCCUGAAAUACCUAAACCCAAGUCAAGCUCCUUCAGUCAACAAGAACAAAGUUUUAAUAUAAUAAUGUUGGUGUAUGGACUUGAGAAACGACAUAAUGUUGGCCGGAAAGUGCAGAGAAAGAGAGAGGAAAAGACGAAUGAAAGGAGAAAAGACUAUCCAAAUGAUUCUUGGCUGUGAUUACAGCUAUUCAUAGGAGAAACAAUGGACAUAUUUUCAUAGGAGAAACAACCUGCCCACUUCAUUUAUAAUAUAUUUCAACAGAGAUAUUUUAAUAGGAGAAACAACUUUCGUUUGUACUAGAAAUUUUUACCCGCGUGUUGCUACGUGAUUUGAAAUUGUAAGAAAGAUUAUCUUUGAAAUAUAUAAUAGAUUGUGUGAUUGAAGAUUAAUACUAUUUACAUUGAAAACGUUGGAAAAAGUUUUACAUACAAAAGAUUUUACGAUACAAUCCACAUCAAAAGAUGGUAAAUUUUUUUCUAUCUACAUGCAUUAAGUUAUGGAAUGAUAUAUAGAUAUAUAUAUAUAACUGAGUUCCAGAAUACGUAAACUUCAUAACUUGGAAAUUUUUUGACAAAUUAAUCAGAUUCAACUGUGGGAUAGCAAGGUCGCCUAUAAAGUUGUGAAGUCGUGGAAGCAUAAAGGACAAAUAACAAAUGAGUUUUGAGAAAUUAUUCCACAAAUGUCAUUUUGCAAAAUGUAUUAAAGACGAUUGGGUACAAGAUUAGUAAUCAUGAGUAGUGUAACAACAUCAACAAAAUAACUAUAAUCCAUAGUUGUUGAACAUAAUUCAAAUUUCGUUUGCAAAAACAAAAGAAAAAGAAAACAGACUUACAAUAAUUCAGCCUUCAAUCCUGAAGUCCUACUCAAAGAGCCAAACUUGAAUGCAAGCUUUCUGAAAUCUUCCAAACAAUACAGAUAAAAAGGUAACAUCCUAGUCAGAAACGAACCGAGGUGCAAGCUUUCUUAGAAACCCAGAUGACAAAAUCAACAAAAGAGAAUGGAAAAAUGACUUACACUUUUAAGGCAUGCUCAAAUCUUGAUCUAAAAUUUGUGGUGGGUCGAUUGUUGGCCACCAACUCUAAAUGAAGAAUUCAUCAGAAACUAGAAAUUUAAACAAAGAAUUUUCCAAAAUCAACAUUUACUAAAAACCAGUUACUUGGUUAUCAUGCAUGAUGGCUUGCCAAAGACUGAAUUAAGGAAUGCACAACUUUACUUUUUAUGAUUAUUUUCAAUGAUAGCUAAAAGGUCAGAUCCAAAUGAAAAUAAAACUUAGGACUUCACAAAACCAAUUAAAAAUCUAAUUCCAAAGUUACAAACACCCACCAAAUGAUUCCAGAUAAAGUUUUAAACUCAACGUCAGACCCAAAUGAAAUUAAAAGUUAGGACUUCACAAAACCAAUUGAAAAUCUGAUUCCAAAGUUCCAAACACCCACCAAAUGAUUCCGGAUAAAGUUUAAACUCAAAAACCCAACAGAAACAAAAGCAUUGGUGUGAAUUAACUGUAUCUAAUUGAAGAAACUAAAACAAAAGUAAAGCAAAGUACAUACCUCAAAAUGUCAAGCAACUAAGUUCUUCCUCCGACGACCCAAAAUUCUGAAAAUUCCACACAAAAAAAGAGUAAGCCCAUUAGCAAUUCAUAGCUUUCAAAAUUAGCAAAAACUUGGGCAACAAUAAAGACGCGUUGAGAACCAUCACUCUUUCUCCUUAUAUAUUUGAAAAGAUAUUUUAUAAGCAGUUUAUGUAGUCAUUCAGAUCAUGUUGCAUAUAAAUUCCUUUUCUACAGAGUUCAUAAAAGUAUGGCAGUUUAUGGUAUCUGUUGAAUGACAUGGUUGAAAGAUUUCAAAUUGAUAUAUUCAAUUUAUGUGUAAAACUAUAACAUAUAGCUAAAGCUAUUGGGUCUAUAUAUCCAUAUCAAUCAUGUCGUAAUUGAAUGUUUAUCAAUGUAAAUAGAUGAUUUCAGUCAUGUGAUAACAUGUUUCUUGAUAGUAUACGCUGAAGAUUGGUCUAAGUGGGAUAUGAAUCGACCAAAAUCUUAAGAAGAGACUCUUUUAACUUUUAACCAAAAAUGAACACCACAGUACUACACUAAGUUUUAUCAUGCAUAAAAUACACAACACUGAUUGCCACUUUUAGAAAACAACAAAACACUCAAAACCCAGAAACAGAAACACACUUUAGGACUCAAACUCCCCAAAAACAUAUGAGAGAGAUAGAGAGAUAGAGAGAGAGAGAGAGAGAGAGAGAGAGAGAGAGAAUAAAAACAAUAUUAUUUUUCACACAAACUCAAAAUUGCUUAUAAAAUUACAAAUCAAAACAAAUGAAAGCAAAUCCAAAAUUGCCCUAAAUUAAAUCUGAUUAGUUAAAUGUUUGUUGCCCUACAAAUGUCAUUACACCCGACAAAACUUGCUUUGAAGUUGAUAUUUUGGUCAAUCCGGGGGAAAAUGAGCUAUUGCUUUUGGAGCAGUUGUCAUGGAGAUUACCAUCUCCCUGUUGAAUGAUCUAAAAAAGGACUUACAGCUUCUGGUGGCCAUAAUAAUUUAGGAGGUCCUUCGCUCCAGAUUUUCUCAAUAACUUUCCUUUUCGUGGCUGGUAGGAUUGCAACUCCAAGAAUUGCUCUGAAGAGAUAUAUGCAAACAAAAUCAAACUAAAACUAAGCUGUUGGAAGAAAUUUAGAAAACACAAACACCACAACUCAGAGUUAAAGUCAACAGAAACCAAAUGGUAGAAGUUGAAAAAAAUAUAUGGUGAUGAAUCGAGAACUUCAUUAAACUAACAGCAAUAAAAUCUCAUAUAAUCUGUCAAAAACCAAAAAAGAGAGAGGUAAUUUCAAAACCUUGUAACGCUGAGGCGUCGUACAGUUGUAGUAAUAAUAUAUGGUUGAUGCACCUGUUGCUCAAUCAAAUCCUCUGUCUGGCUAAAAAAAUAAAAAUCUAUAAAUACAUUCACGUCCAAUUUAUGAGAAAUCAUGGGAAAGUAAAUGCACUGAUAACGGAAUUAUGAAUAUGAACUUGCCAAAAAGAAAAAGAAAACUUCUUAUAGUGUGCCAAGAACAUCCUCCUACUCCUAGCAAUUUUUAAUGGCAUUGUCCACUUCUCAAUUCAUAAUUCAACCAAUAACUCAAAGUCUAUAGUGUUUGAAAAAGUGAUAUCUUAGUUGAUCACGAUGAUAAUUAAGCAGAUUAAAUGAUGACCCAUAAAGCAUACAAAUUCAGAAAAGAAAAGGUUCAAAACUGUCAUGAGAAAAUACAGAAUAUAUAAACAGGAAAUCAAAAAAAGAGAAGUGAAAAAGGAAGAAACAACCAAACAAAAUUAUUAGGUUUGGGAUAUACCUUUAUCUGAAACGCCACAAUCAUCAAAGUCAAACUUAAACAACAACAACAACAACAACAACAACAAAGCCUUUUCCCACUAAGUGGGAAAGUCAAACUUAAACAAUCCAAAAAUUUGUGGAAAAUACCAAUAAAUGCUCAACUAAAAACGAAAGAAACGUAGAAUAAGUUUACCUGUUCUGCCCCUAAUUAAACUGGAAUACAAUUCACCACUAAUAUUCCUUGGUGUAUGCUUUUCGCAGACGAUAUAGUGUUGAUAGAUGAAACUCAGGAAGGGGUAAAUGCAAAGCUUAACCUUUGGAGAGAAGUGUUGGAAUCUAAAGGUCUUCGCCUAAGCCGAUCAAAGACAGAAUAUAUGGAGUGCAAGUUCAGUGCAAAUGGAGGCCAAAACGAGUUAGGGGUGAGGAUCGGAGAUCAAGAAAUACUAAAGAGCGACCGUUUUCGUUACCUAGGAUCUAUCUUGCAAAAGAACGGAGAAUUAGAUGGAGAUCUCAACCAUAGAAUACAAGCUGGAUGGAUGAAGUGGAAGAGUGCAUCCGGCGUGUUAUGUGACCGCCGUAUGCCACUGAAGCUCAAGGGAAAAUUUUAUAAGGACGGCAAUAAGGCCGGCGAUGCUGUAUGGCACAGAAUGUUGGGCGGUGAAACAUCAAACACGUACACAAAAUGGGUGUAGCGGAGAUGAGGAUGCUUCGUUGGAUGUGUGGGCACACGAGAAAGGAUAAGAUUAGGAAUGAGGAUAUCCGGGGUAAAGUAGGAGUAGCCGAAAUUGAAGGAAAGAUGAGAGAAAAUCGGUUACGGUGGUUUGGACAUGUGCAAAGAAAGGCCUACUGACGCUCCGAUUAGAAGAUGCGACUAUGGGACAGAGGUUCAGGGCCGAAGGGGUAGAGGAAGACCUAGGAAAACUUUGGAAGAGACUCUAAGAAAAGACUUAGAGUACUUGGAUCUAACGAAGGACAUGACACAGGAUCGAGCACAAUGGCGUUCUAAGAUUCAUAUAGCCGAUCCCACUCAGUGACUUGGAUUUUCCAAGUCUCCAACCGAGAAGUUUUCCUCACUCGGAAAAUUAAGGGAACACUACCCCAACCUACAUGCUCCACUCAGAAAGCUUCAACAUACAAGCUUCAACAAAAGAAAAUUCAAAGAACUUAGCGAAGAAGGCUUUGGUGUAUUAACACAAUACGUUGAAAUGAAGGAAAGCUUAUUUAUUGAUAUCCCCGAUAAGCUACAAAUAUGUACAUAUACAUGAGUCAAAAUAAACACACAAGAGGGAGCCUUCACAAAGGUUGCUUAGGAGAAGUCUCAGCAGUCGGUAGAGCCCCAGAAAGAGAAGGCACCGGAGGGGGAUCAUUUGGAGCCUCAGUACUGGACAGAACCCUAGAAGGAGGAGGCAUCAGAGGUUGAUCAUUUGGAGCUUCAUUACGCGGUACAGCCCCAGAAGACGAAGGCAAUAAAUGCCUUUGGAACAAACCCACAAAUCUCUGAUGAUCAAGUAAAACCUGACCAUCAGUUUCCUUCAUCUGGUCAAGCUUCCUCUUCAUGUUUGUAGCAUAGUCAUGUGCGAGCCGGUGCAACUGUUUAUUCUCAUGCUUGAGCCCUCUAAUCUCCUGUUUGAGACUCAUCACUUCAGCCGCCAAUGAUUCAACUUGGCGGGUUCGAGCAAAUAGGCGUUGGGCCAUAUUAGACACAGAACCUGCACACUGAACACUGAGAGCCAGCGAAUCCUUAACAGCUAACUCAUCAGACCGUUUGGAAAGUAGUCUGUUAUCUUUGGGAGUGAGAAGGUUCCUGGCCACCACCGCAGCGGUCAUAUCAUUCUUCAUCACGGAAUCCCCAACGGUAAGAGGACCAGUAGGGGAGACGAAGGAUGGGCGCCAUAUGUUGUCUGGAGAAGGCGGGGCUGCCUCUUCAACAAGGUUCAAGUCAAAACGACGGUCGGAGGGGCCAGACAUUUUCAAAGGUGUUGAAGAGAGAAGAGGUCGGACAAAUCAAGAUCUUAGAAGUGCAAGAAUGAAGCUUCUACUGGUGGAGAUUCAAGUGUGCUUUGGAACUUAAUGCCAGCCCCUAUAAAAAUCUGCACUCGACGGAGCUUCAGAAAAUCGAAGAGGCGCCUGCUCAGAAAUCGAAGAGGCGUUUGCUUUCUCAAAAGCUGGGCUGCUUAGAGAUCACGAGGGUUGAUCUCAGAAAUCGAAGAGGCGUUUGCUUUCUCAAAAGUUGGGCUGCUCAAAGACCACGAAGGCCGAUCUCAGAAAAUCGAAGAGGCGCUCGCUUUCUCAAAAGCUGGGCUCCCCAGAGACCACGAGGGCCGAUCUCAGAAAUCGAAGAGGCACCUACUUUUCCAGCCUUGUCAGCACCUGUCACACGCACACUCAGCUUUGCGGAAAUUAUGGGCAUUCUGUCGAAGACUUCUGGGGAAGUAGAAAACACAUGAAUCUUACUGUUCAAUCACCCACUUCCCACACGCAACAAUAGCUCAUGGGUACCACAGAUAACUUUGCCAAAGUUCUCUGCCAAAGUUGAGCACGUGAAGCUUGCAGCUCCCACUACAUCGCUCUGACCAAGAAGGGUAAAAGAAUAGCAAAGAAACAGCACUAACAAAGUUUAGACCCAUAAAUUUUGAAGGUCUAGCUACCAUAUUAUUACCCACAAGGGUAAAGGAACAGUACCACUGCUGGAUAAUUGGAAAGUCCCUGUGUGUCAACCUCUGUGCUUCGUGGCAAGGUAGACUAGCAAACAUGCCCAACCUUUACUCACAUUCGAGAAAACACUCCCAAUAAGAUUGCUUGCUCCAAAAUCGAAGAGGCACCGUCCUCCGAAUCUCGAGAGCCAGACUCCCAACAUGACUACUUUCUUAAAAAUCGAAGAGAGGGUAAAGGAACAGUACCAUUGCUGGAUAAUUGGAAAGUCCCUGUGUGUCAACCUCUGUGCUUCGUGGCAAGGUAGACUAGCAAACAUGCCCAACCUUUACUCACAUUCGAGAAAACACUCCCAACAAGAUUGCUUGCUCCAAAAUCGAAGAGGCACCCGCCCUCCGAAUCUCGAGAGCCAGACUCCCAACAUGAUUACUUUCUCAAAAAUCGAAGAGACACUGCUCCCCGAAUCUUCGAGAGCCAGACCCCCAGCAUGAUUGCUUUCUCAAAAAUCGAUGAGGCAUCGUUCUCCGAAUCAAUCGAAGAGGCGCUCGCUUUCUCAAAAGCUGGGCUGCUCAGAGACCACGAGGGCCGAUCUCAGAAAUCGAAGAGGCACCUACUUUUCUAGCCUUGUCAGCACCUGUCACACGCACACUCAGCUUUGCAGAAAUUAUGGGCAUUCUGUCGAAGACUUCUGGUGAAGUAGAAAGCACAUGAAUCUUACUGUUCAAUCACCCACUUCCCACACGCAACAAUAGCUCAUGGGUACCACAGAUAACUUUGCCAAAGUUCUCUGCCAAAGUUGAGCACGUGAAGCUUGCAGCUCCCACUACAUCGCUCUGACCAAGAAAGGUAAAAGAAUAGCAAAGAAACAGCACUAACAAAGUUUAGACACAUAAAUUUUUGAAGGUCUAGCUACCAUAUUAUUACCCACAAGGGUAAAGGAACAGUACCACUGCUGGAUAAUUGGAAAGUCCCUGUGUGUCAACCUCUGUGCUUCGUGGCAAGGUAGACUAGCAAACAUGCCCAACCUUUACUCACAUUCGAGAAAACACUCCCAACAAGAUUGCUUGCUCCAAAAUCGAAGAGGCACCGUCCUCCGAAUCUCGAGAGCCAGACUCCCAACAUGACUACUUUCUCAAAAUCGAAGAGAGGGUAAAGGAACAGUACCAUUGCUGGAUAAUUGGAAAGUCCCUGUGUGUCAACCUUUGUGCUUCGUGGCAAGGUAGACUAGCAAACAUGCCCAACCUUUACUCACAUUCGAGACAACACUCCCAACAAGAUUGCUUGCUCCAAAAUCGAAGAGGCACCCGCCCUCCGAAUCUCGAGAGCCAGACUCCCAACAUGAUUACUUUCCUCAAAAAUCGAAGAGACACUGCUCUCCGAAUCUCGAGAGCCAGACCCCCAGCAUGAUUGCUUUCUCAAAAAUCGAAGAGGCAUCGUUCUCCGAAUCUCGAGAGCCAGAUACCACAGACCACUUUUUCAAAGUGCUCUGACAGAGUUAAAACAUGUGAAACUGGCAGCUCCCACUACCGUGCUAUGACCAAGCAGGGUAAAGGAAUAGCAUUACUACUUGUUGUUAGGGAGACUCCUAUAUAUGUCGACCUCCAUCCCCAACGGACAGGCAGACCUGCAAAAAUGCUCAACCCUUCAUCAUAUCUGAGAGGGCACUCCCAACGAAGCCUUUCGAAAUAUUCAGCUUUCUUUCCCCCCGAUAAUACCUCUGCAAACAAGCUAUACUACUAGAGCAAGAAUAUCUCAUAUCAUCAGGGUUAAAAGCAAGAGUAUCCCAUAUCAUGCUUUUUCCCUGUCUUUUCCUUUGGCCUUGUUUUUUACCUGCAAGACAAGGAGAAAGAGAGAGCAAUCAGUCAGCACUUGGAAUCAAGCUUCCAGCCAGGAACUGACUGCCUGGAACCCCUUACCUGAUUACUUACCUGGCAUUGCUCUCGAGUACUCAUCUUCAACAUCUUAUGUUUCCAGGGAAGAUUCCGCAUCUGCUUGAGGAACAGAUAGGGCAAGUGCGAAGGAUACAAGGAAGCAUGUGGAGACAAGCGUAACAGCACACGUGCCGAUACAUCCAUUACUCUGUCAAAAGCAAAAGUAUCCCAUAUCAGCAGGGUGGAACGUACUCUAGAUUUGAUGGACUUGUUUUGACCCUCAAAUUCUUCAGUCGGCCUUAUACUCUGGAGGAAACCAGAAAACCCUCCAGCUCAGUUCAAGAAUAAGCCUGUGGAAAGUUACUUCUUCAAAAGCAAAAGUAUCUCUCAUAUCAUCUCUUCUCAUUUUUUCUUCUCUUUAUCCUUCAUGCUGCUGCAAGAUGGGGAGAAGGUGAACAAUCAGUCGGAGCUCUGAUUGCUUACCUUGUCUGUCACCUCUUUCAGCAGACCCCCUAGCUCGGCGACUUGGGGGACUCCUACUACAUGGUUUGUAUCGCGCUUGACCAAGCCUGAAACUACAAGUAAGCUUCAAGUGAAAUUGAUACAUUACCUUGUGCAUCUCCACCAGUUAAAGAUACCACCCCUGGAUGGAGGAAGAGUACUUCCAGAGAAGAUGCCACAUCUACCUAUGAGACAGAUAAGGCAAGUCAAGACGACACCACACUCCGAUACUUAGAAGUUUCGUGAUUACGAGAUCAUUCUCCCACAAUAUUUCCUAAUGUCAUUUGUACUAAAUCAUUCACUUGUACUCACUAAAGGAGAGCUUGAACCUAUGUACUUGUGUAAACCCUUCACAAUUAAUGAGAACUCUUCUAUUCCGUGGACGUAGCCAAUCUGGGUGAACCACGUACAUCUUGUGUUUGCUUUCCUAUCUCUAUCCAUUUAUAUACUUAUCCACACUAAUGACCGGAGCAAUCUAGCGAAGAUCACAAAAAAGCGACCGUUUUCGCUACCUAGGAUCUAUCUUGCAAGAGAACGGAGAAUUAGAUGGAGAUCUCAACCAUAGAAUACGAGCUGGAUGGAUGAAGUGUAAGAAUGCAUCCGGCGUGUUGUGUGACCGUCGUAGGCCACUGAAGCUCAAGGGAAAAUUUUAUAGGACGGCAAUAAGGCCAGCGAUGUUGUAUGGCACAGAAGAAUGUUGGGUGGUGAAGCAUCAACACGUACACAAAAUGGGUGUAGCGGAGAUGAGGAUGCUUCGUGGGAUGUGUGGGCACACGAGAAAGGAUAAGAUUGGGAAUGAGGAUAUCCGAGGUAAAGUAGGAGUAGCCGAAAUUGUAGGAAAGAUGAGAGAAAAUCGGCUCCGGUGAUUUGGACAUGUGCAAAGAAGGCUGAAUGACGCUCCGGUUCGAAGAUGUGACUACGGGACAGAGGUUCAGGGUUGAAGGGGUAGAGGAAGACCUAGGAAAACUUUGGAAGAGACUAUAAGAAAAGACUUAGAGUACUUGGAUCUAACGGAGGACAUGACACAAAACCGAGCGCAAUGGCGUUCUAGGAUUCAUAUAGCCGACCCCACUUAGUGGGAAAAGGCUUUGUUGUUGUUGUUGUUGUAUUCAAUGAAGAUGCUUAAAGGAGACAGUAAUAUUAGCAAUGAAGGAAUUUAAUUGAUAACUAAAACUGCAAAACAAAAUGACUACAAUAGGUUCAAAACAGAAACUCGUCCGAUAGAUAUCUCAUCUUUAGGCAAUGCCUUGUUCCCUUUUUUUUUUUUUUUUUUUUUUUUUUUUUUUGUUGCAUGUCUUGUGAACUUCAUGUAAAUCAACAAAAUUGAUACCUUAACCAACAAUGGAGAGGUAAAAAGUUAAAAACAGAAGGAAUGUCUUCAGUUUUGUAAUGGAUUUUGCAAGUCAAAUUCUGUUCGAGAAUUUGCAACCCAGAAAGUCCCAGCAAUUAUUAACAAUCACAGAUAAGCACCGAAUGAAGGCCAAUCUAAUAAGCCAAAAUAUGUAGGGCACUAAAGAAAUUAUUGCCCAGUAACAAUGAUAGAUAAGCACAUGUGAAACUAAAGAAAAUUUUCAUUACUAUCAACUCCAAAAAAAAUUACCUAUGCAAUCCAAAAAAUGUUGAUACAGAGUUGGAGUAUCGAUGCCUGAAAUUGGUAUUUGAACCACCAACUACCUCCGUGAAUAUGCUUGUCACUUAAUGGUUUGGGUUGAAGUUGUGAAAGGAAAUGUAAUUUCUUAAAAGGAAGGAGAGAAUGCAGAGAAGAAUACAGAAUGGUUCACGUGGCCACCGCAAAACAGGUUAAUAAUCAAGCUUCACUAUGAAUGGAAAGAUUAAUAGAUGAUAAUUAAGAAGGCCUGAUACCCAAGCCGAAAUCAGAGAUAUCCUUUGUAAACAAAGAGAUUGAACAUUUCCUCUCAAAAAAUAACUUUUUUUUUUGUUUUGGGGGGGAGGUUGGGAAGGCUCAGAAAAAGACAUCCAAUAUAAUACUUAUUGCAUGCAAGGUAUGAAACAGCCUCCCCCCGAGUAAAAUCACAGAAAUAAAAGAAAUCGAAUCAAGAAAAAAGAUAAUUACACAAGAAUUACACCUUCACUAAGAAAAUAAAUUAUAAAAACGAAGACUCUGAGAAUAAUUGCCUGUGAUUUGCUGCCAAAAACAAAAAUAAUGUCGUAUACAUUAAGCCUGCCGAUUACUAAAAACAAAACAUUUUUCCAUGAGAAGAAGUAAGAACAUACCGAAACUUGUUUGCUAAUAGAUGAGAAAAAUUUAUAACUGAAACAUAUAGGAAAUUUAUUAGGAAAAGAUAAACAAAACACCUAAAUUAAGCAAUUAAAUGGAGUAUUACUUGAUAGAGCUGGAAAAUUACCCAGUUCCUCAGAGAGAGGAUCAAGAGUGAAUGAUGAGAGUGCAGAGAAACGAAUGAUUGAGAAAUUCAAGCUCUGAGCUCACAGUUGGGGCUUCCACUUUCCAACUGGGGAAGAAAUAACAGAGAAAACACAAGGCCAAUCCACCAAAAAUAUUAAUCAAAUGGGUUUCUUCUAAUUCAAAAUUUUGACCACCCAAAUUCCGAUGAAGCAAUAAUUGUUCAAAAUUCCAACAGAUUGAAGGAAAAAGUAAUAAAUUUUUUUAAAACAGUAAUAAUGAAGGAAAAAGAAAUUAAAGCUGCGAGCCAUUCUCUAAAUCUCAGGCACCAAUCCAAAUCACCAGUAAUUUGCACAUAAUGAUAAGAAUCUAGCAAUACUUCCAUUGUUUAAAACCCAAAUUCCAGAAAUCAUGAAAAAUGGAAACUUUAUAUGGAAAUUGAAGCUUUACCUGCAGAUCAGCAGCAGCAAACGAAAUUCAAGAAGUCACGAUUAUCGACGCGUGGGUAGCAUUCCACUGUGCCAAGGACGAAAAUGAACGGGGAAUGUAGAGCUGGCUGACGAAGACAGGAUUCGCGAAGCGCUCUGAUUUUUUUUUUCACGAGAAUGCGGAAUGAAGAGAAGCGAGUAGAGGAGGAAUCAUUUUAAGCGAUGAUCGACGCGUGGAAAUUGAGGGCAAAUCUGCCAUUUUGCUGUGAACGAAAGUGAAAAAAGGCACAAUCAAAGAGUAAUUUGAGGGCAUUCUAGCCACUUUAAUAAACAGUAGCUUUGUGUUUGAGAUUUAAUAUAGGUAUAUAUAGAGCCCUACAGAGCAACUCCACCCAUGGAGCCCUCCUCUCUGACAAUCUACUAUUGAAUUCACCUUUUUGAACAGUAACUGCCUUUAAUAAAUAGUAACUACCAUUAAUGAACAAUAAUUGUCAUUUGCAUCUCCACCCUUGGAGCCCUCCCCCCUGGCAAUAGGCAAUAAAAUAUUAAUUUUUUUUGUUUGUUUAAAUAAUACAAAAUAAAAUUAUUUGUAAUUUUGGAUAAGAUUUUUUAAAUCGUUCUCGUUGCGCCACGUGUCAUUUUAUAAAAAAAACAAUUAUUUAGCGAUGGAUUUCGAUAAGAUUUUUAUCCAAUGUCAUCGUGUCACAUGUCGUUAUCUUUUGAUAAUCUUUGACGAUAUCUUUCGAUCAGAUUUUAACUCGUUCAAAAUUGCGUCACGUGUCAUUAUUCGAAAAGAUAAUUAUUGGAGAUCGAUUUCGAUAAGAUUUUUAUCCAAUACGAUCUUGUCACGUUUCAUUAUCUUUCAUAAUAUUUGAGGAUAGAUUUCGAUCAGAUUUUUAACGAAUGACGGCAUGCCACGUGGCCUUAUCUACAAUCCAAUCCUUUCUGAAUCAUCCAUAUAAUCCACCAUCCAUCCUCACAAAUCUCACACCAAAUUUCUCAACAUUUCUAUCUCAUUAUUCAUAGUUUCUGCUUCUUCUUCACCAUCCAUCAUUACAAUGUCUUCUUCUUCAUCAAGGAUGAUGUGGGAAAUCGAUCAGCAAGAGGAAGAAUUGUUUAACCAAUCUGAAGGAAUGUUCAACCUUCAGAUAGCCGAAAAUGAGAUGGAUGAGGAUGAGGAGCGUAGAAGGAGAGACGACGAAACAAGAAUGGCCAGAGCCUCACAUUCCCGUUGAGUCAUCCAGACUGUUGCUCAGAUAUGCAUGCCCAACCGUUCAAGAAACCUUGGUAGAAGCAGGCAACGAUGGGGUGAAGAGCUAUUGGACGAUUACUUUGUCCAUAACAGUGCAUUUCCUGAUACGUACUUCAGACGUCGUUUUAGAAUGGAACGACAUUUGUUCAACAGAAUCAUGACUGAUGUUUACAACCAUGAUUCUUACUUUGUGCAAAAGAAUGAUGCUUGUGGUGUUAUGGGUUUCCUGCCUGAGCAAAAAAUCACUGUUGCGUUGCGGAUGCUUGCGUAUGGAGCAUCUGUAGACCAAGUGGAUGAGAUAACGAGGAUGGGGAAAUCAACCAUUCUUGAGGCCCUUAUGAGGUUUUGCGGAGCAGUCGAAUCUUUGUACACCGCAUAGUACCUCCGAAAACCUACUUGUAGGGACUUGCAAAGGCUUCUGAAGAAGGGCGAGAUGCGAGGUUUUCCUGGGAUGAUAGGAAGCAUCAAUUGUAUGCACUGGACGUGGAAAAAUUGUCCAAGUGCAUGGCAAGGCGCAUAUGGGGACAUAAAAGGAUCAAAAACUAUCAUUUUGGAGGCAGUGGCAUCUUUUGAUACAUGGAUAUGGCACGCCUUUUUCGGGGUUCCGGGGGCUCAAAAUGAUCUCAACGUCCUUGCCCAAUCCCCAGCGUUCAACGACAUCCUGCAAGGAAAGGCACCAAAAGUCACGUACAUCGUCAACGGACGUAGGUACGACGGGCCAUACUAUCUAGCUGACGGCAUUUACCCACGGUGGGAAACAUUUGUCAAAACAGUGCCACGUCCGCGAAGUGCAAAGGAAAAACACUUUGCAAGCUGUCAAAAGGGGUGCAGGAAGGAUGUGGAGCGUUGUUUUGGUAUCCUUCAAGCUCGUUGGGCGAUCGUCAGGGGUGCUGCCAGAAUGUUCGAUGUAGAGUCACUUUGAUCCAUCAUGAUGACAUGCGUCAUUCUUCACAAUAUGAUUGUGGAAGAUGAGUUCGAUUAUGAUGCGGUUGAUGAAUAUGAGCCAGAGCCAGACACGAUGAACAAUUCAAGAACACGGAUAUAUUGUGCGCAUGAUGCCACCAAAGAACCCGUGCAACAUGAGCCAUUAGAAAGGGAUGAACGUUACAAUGAAAUGGUCAUUCAACGAUAUACUGCACUUCAAAUGUCAUCUAUGCACAAUGAUCGGCAAAUUGACUUGAUAGAGCACCAGUGGACAUUAAAACAAGCUGAAGAUACUUAAGUUUAUUUAGUAUGUUUGUUUGUAUUUGGUAUGUUUAUGUAAUUUUAUUUGGUGUGUUUUUUGUAGUGAGUUUUUUAUUAUUUCGUAUGUUUAUGUAAUUUUAUUUGGUGUGUUUAUGUAAUUCCAAUUGGUAAGAAAAUAUGAAAUUGUGGUGUAAGGUAGAUGGAGAAGAAGUGGUAUUUAUAGAAAAGUAAAAACAAUUUUUUACAAAUUUUUUUUUUUAGAUUUUUUACAAUUUUUUCGGAUUUUUUCCAUUUUUUUUAAUUUUUUUUUCAAAUAAUUAAUCUCUGCCGUUGGAUUUAAAAAAAAUUGAAUUCCAACACUCCAGAUUGUGCCACGUGUCACAACGGUAAUUUUUCUUAAUUUUAAAACUAUUUUUUCUUUAUUUAUAAAGCAUAUUAAUAUCGACCGUUGAUCUGAAAUCGAACGGUUGAUAUUAAAUAAGAUUUGUUUUAUUUUUUUUACCGUUGAGAUCCAACAGUCCAAAUGAAAGAGCCGUUGAGAUCGAACGGACCGUGGGAAACCACGUGGCUUCCCAAUGGUAACUGAGACAACUGCAAAAGUGGGCUGCUUUUCUGAAAAGCUGUCAGGCGACGCGCCCCCACGCGCGAGUGGGGUGCACGCGCCUGACAAAAAAAAAAAAAAUGGGUGAAGAGCUCGGGCUCACGGCUGUCACAAAUUGACAGGCCUUCUGCUCGGGCCUUCUCCACGAGCUCGGGCUCUUCAAGACUGGAGCUGAUUGACUAGCCCUCGGGCCUUUCUUUUCCCCUGUCCCCCGGCCUACAUGCAUGGGUGGAGUUGCUCUAAGAGAAGGGAUUUCCAUUCUUGUUUUUUUAAAUGUGGACACCUUUUUUACUGUUAGAUUUGACUUUAACGAAAUUUUGUGGUUGAGAUUAAAUCACAAACCACAGAAUCUCAACCAUAGAAUUUCAUUAAAGCUAUAUUUAACGAUCAAUAGGGUGUUCCCAUUUUUUUUGAAAAAUAGGAAUCCCUUCCCUUAAGGCUUUCAGUAUAUUAUAUACACUAAAACUCAAUUGAUGAACACUGUUCAUUAACAGUGAUUUUACGUUUUAGCCCCUGUUUUGCUGUUUGUUUGCCCUUUUAUUUUUCGAUCUUAACAGUAAAAUGACAGUUUUGCCCGUUCUUUCCACGCGUCAGUCAUCGUUGAGCUCUUCACUUCAAGAGUCUUCUUUUAGGUUUAGCCUUUUCUUUGCACUGGUGAUUCUCUGAUUUCGUCUCUUCGUCUCGCCCUCUGUUUUUUCUCAAAUCCUCCAUUCCUCUCAAAUAUUCCGUUCUUUAUUUCACAAAAUAUUCAGGAGAAAGUUCCUGAUUUUCGUGUUUUAAGGGAUAUAAUGAUUUGGUGUUGUUUAUCUCAAACAGCGGGCUUGCAGGUAAAAUGUUAAGCUUUAUGUCCAAAGCAAUCUUUCUCUGCAUGCUGACUGUGUGUUGAUUUGAAGGGGUGGUUUAGUGAAUGGGUGCUUCUUAUUUUUGGCCUUUCUCUAUUAUCAUAUAUGUUUCUCUAUUCUCAGGUAUCAGAUCAUUCGAAACAAAAACAUUUUAACGUUAUUUUUGCAGGUUAAUGUUGGGUUUGAGUCCAACACGAUAUACACUUGAACAGAGUAGAGUAGAAGACAGUAUGCAAACAUGAUUUAGGACACAGUUUACCUAAUUGUAAACACUCUGUGAAAUAUUAUUAGUUAUGAACAUCCAAUUUGAAUCCCCCACAUGCUAAAUUAGGUACCAUUAAAUUAGUUUUAUGUCUUUUUUUUAUUUGAAAGCUGCUUCUUAUUUCUGUCUCUAUUAAGAUUCUGGGGUGUGCUUUGGAUUUGCUACAUAUGGUCAUAUUUUUUGUCAUUGGCUUUUUGUUCUGCUUAGUUUUUUUUAAUCGAGUGUUUUAUCUGGUAUUUCAUUUUGUUUUGUUUAUUUGUUUCCUUUUUAUGUUUAAAUGUUUUUUGUUCUUUCUAAAUUUGGGCUUCUGGGAAAUUCUUGCUCACUGUUUGGAUUCCGAGAAAAUUUAGGGGAUGUCCAGUAAUAUUCACAUCCUGAAAACUCAGUGAAAAUAGAUACCAAUUUAUGUGCAGCUGAAAAUUUUGUUAUCUGAUUCUGUUCUAAAUAACAUGAUUUAUUUGUUUUUUAAACUUUUAAUUAUUUCGUAUUUAUUUUGUGAUUGCAGAUGUUUAAAUGAUGGAGAGUUUCGCAAAGCUGUUACUCGGAGGAGACAUGUCUAGAUGAGGGAAAGGUGUCUCCACUGCCCUUGCUAUCUCAAAUGCCAUCACCAAUCUCUCUGGUUAGUCACAUUCCUCUUGGAAUAUGCAUAUUCUUAUGUGAUGUUGGCUGAUACCUUGGUGAGUCAACUUAAUAAAAAAUGUGAGAUGGACAAAUUGAAAAGUCUAUUUUCUUCUCAUAUGCAUCCUUUAACAUAUGUCAGUUUUAAUUAUUGAUGAGCAAUUGAAAAUUUAGUUUUUCUUCUCAUGGUACACUUACAUUGGUAGUUCAACAUAUGUUUGUUUAACAUAUCUUAUUAAAUGCAUUUGAGAAUCGAUUGAAGAAACUCAGUUCUUUUAGCAAUUAAGAACAAGGUAAACAUAGUUGUAAAUAUGUGUAAAUAAGAUAGGAAUUUUGAUGAAUUUAUGUUUUUUCCUCCGUUUUUCAGUGUUUUCAGGCAUUGAAGCUAAAUAUGGAGAGGGUUUUGAGACUUUUAGACCUAUUGGACCUCUCAAGGUUUGCGUGGUAAGGAGUUUAUGGAGUUAUACGCAUAGUAGGCAUUAUAUUUUAUGUUCUGUUGAAUUUAAUUUAAUGGUUAUAUUUUAUGCUCCUAUGAGUUAUUACUGUUAUGUUUACUCUGAGUAGGAUUUGUUGAACGACAAACUGCAAGGAGGUUUUCUUAAACGAAUAUGAUAUGCUAUGAAACCGAAUGAAGCUUACUGUCUUCUAUUCUCUUUUGUUAAUUUCGUGGUAAGUUUCUAUAACACUGAUUAGUUAUGUCUUCGAGGUUCUAAUGGCUAGAUAUGCUAAUGUAAUGAACUAUGGAAUAUUGUAAUAGUUUAUGGUCAAUGUGAUCCCAUAUCUGUUUGAUUGAAAUAUUGUUCUAUAACAGGUUUAAACUUUGUUUUUCCAAUACCUUAUCACAAAAUAAUUCCACCUUGGACAAAUUACAAGGUAUGCUGCAACAUGUGCUUUGAUUAAUUGCAUUCAAAUUGAUACUGCUUAAGAAUGCAUUUGAACAUGUUGAAUUUCACGCCCGCAGCAUCGCGCGGGCAAUAUUGCUAGUAUAAUAUAUAAUUGGGUGAUAAAGAGAGUAGGUGAAAGAACACAAUUUGCUCUUAAAAAUGUUGUUUUUAAGAACGAGUGAUUUUUCUUUUCUGACUCUUUCUGUCUAACCCAAAAGCAUACUGGUAAUAGGGUCCAGUAAGAAAAUUAUUUUUAGAAAUUAAACAUGAAAAAAUACAAAAUUUACAAUUUCGAAUUAUACAAAAAAGACAAAAAAAGCGCAAAAUAAAAAGAGCAGGACAGAAAAACAGAAACAAAAGAAAGGAGACACUAAGAAUACAAAUAGCGUGAUUUGAGCCCUCAAUUUUGGCAGGCAACAUGAUUGUUAACGCAUGAUUGUGAACCCAUCCAUUGAAGAAAGAAGCAUCAUAAUACACAAGAGUCAAGACUGGGCUUGGUUUAUAUAAUGAAUAAUGUUAGGGAGAUCAAAUUUUUUAAACUAAAUUUGUAAAUUAAAUGAUGUAGUUAUAGAUGAUUGGGUUAUUACUAAGUGUCGAUUAAUAUGUUUAUUUCUUAUUGGUGACAUAUCAUUUGGUUUAAAAAUUUGGUCUCCCUAGCAUUAUCCUUAUAUAAUUAAUCAAUAAUAUUCCAUAACAAGAGCUAGGUCCAUAUAUUACGAGGUUAUAAAAUAUGCUAGGUGCUAGUCGAGAGGCGGGCGGGGCCUAAGCAGAUUUAAGUAAAUUUAUUAUAUAUUGUAUAAAUAAAUGCCUUUUUAUACUUAAAAUGACACACAAUUGUAUCGAAAUAUAUAAAUUGCAAAAUAAAAUGACAUAUAGAUUAUAAAUUACUAGAACAUAAUGAACAAUCAUAUAAUGAGGGUUUAUCCAAAUAUUUAUUGGAAAACAAAAAACAAAAUGAGUGUUAUCGAUUUUCUGUCUAAAUGAAAGUUGCGGGCUAGGCAGGUUUAAGUGGGUUAGGCGGACGCCUAAGCAAGUCUAGAGCACUUUCUUAAUUUUUAAAUGAUUAGGGACUAAUUAGGGUGGUGGACAACUGCCUAGCGCUAGACAUGGGUUUUUAGAACAGUAAUUACUUGUUCUCAUAGAUCUCUGGGUUCAAGAAAAUUAUGAUCACCUAUUGUUCGAUCUUAAUACCGUCGGUAAGCGGUUAUUUAACCAUUUUUUAUAUUGAGUAAUUUUCCUGGAUCCUGAAAUCUAGAAGAACAAAACUCUUAUGUCACAUGGAUAAACAUAAUCAGGCAUAAGAAAAAGGUUGAAGAAUUCAUAAGUCAUAUAGGGGGCGUUUGUUUGCCCUCACUAAGUAUCACUGGACUAACUAUUAGUCCAGUCCCGUGUUUCUUCUGUAGAGGGAUUAUGUUUCAUGAGACUAAAGGGGAGUCACACGGACAAACUCCUUCACUAGGAGUUCUUAGCGAGAUCCCCCAAUGCCCAUGGGAUUGCUAAGACCUCGUAUACUCCAUCUUUGUAUGCUAUGUCUCAUCCUCUCUAUGCUCUCUAUUAUCUUGAGCACCAUCACACCACAACUCACCAACUCCAGUGAGAUCACACCACCAACCCACCACCACUUUCUCCCUCUCUCUUCACAUGAACCCAAAAUUUCGAACUGAGGAAGAUCCCGUUCUUACAGUAAUUCGUCCAGCUCUAGCUGUCUGCUUCGCUUCGCUGCACUUCAAACUCGACCUUGGACUCGUCUGAUUCGCUUUGAACUCGACCUCGUAUUUGUCGACUUUACGCAAUUGACGAGAUCUUGUGAACUUGAUGAUGGGUGAGCCACCCAGUGCACUUGAAGGAAUAUGGGAGGCCAAGAACGCCAAAGCCUACGACGGCAAUGAAGACGUUGGCUGGAUUGGGAUGACAGCGACGUGUUCCACAUCAAGGGCAGCGGCUUGGGAUUCUUGUUUUCAUUUGGUUUUGAUUUAAAUUAGGUUUUGAUUUCGAAUUGGGUUUGAUGUGAUCUGGUAUUGGCAUUUGAUUUGCUCUGUAAUUGUUUGAAUGUGUGGAAUAAAUUUUGGGGAAAGAGGAAGAAAAUUUAGAAAAAGAAAAAUAGACUAAAUAAUAAAAUAUUAAUAUAUAUUAGAUUAAAUAAUAUCAUAUUAGAAUUUAUUAUUAUCCUACUUCUUGGUCCGACACUGCACCAAACGCUUUACUAAGCUAAUCCAACUUAGUCUAGUCUAAGUCAAUCCAGCUUAGUUCCUGAAGUUAGUCUAGUCCAAGACAAUCCGGUGCAACAAACACAUUCAUAGAGUAAUUAUAGGGAUACUAAAUUUGUAAAUAAAAUUUUGUAAACUAAAUGACAUGGAAGUUGAUCGUUGAAUUAUUACUUAAACGUUAAUAAAUGUACUCAUUAUCACUAAAGACACGUUAUUUAAUUUGUAAAUUUUAUUUAUAAAUCUAAAGCAUUACCCAAACUCAUAAUACAAAUAGCUACUUUGAGAGAAGAAAAGAUGGAGAGUGAUAUGAUUGCAUUCUUUUUUAAAGCAACUUCUGAAGAUUCCAUAAUAAACUAUUAUUAUAUAUGAAGAUGUGCCGUGGUAAAAGAGAGGAAAAAAUGAAUGGAAAGUUUAUCCAAAAGAUUCUUGACCGUGAUUACAACUAUUUAACUUUUGUAAAUUUUCAUGGACCGAGAUCCAAGAAAAGAUGGAGAGUGAGAUUGGCAUUCUUUUUUGUAAAGGGAUUUUUUUUCCGAUCCCUUCCAUCUAAUUCACCUGAGUCAACCAUUUGAGUUCUUGAAAUUUAUUUAAACAACUAAAAUUAUUAUAACUUUUAAUGAAGCCCCUAUUUGUAGUCGUUAAAUCAAAUUUUAAAGAUUCGAAUUAGUGAAUUAGGUGGAUUAGGUGGAAGGGAUCCGAAGAAUAUCAAUUUCCUUCUUUUUCAACACAACUUUUGUUGAGUCCAUAAUAAACUAUUAUAUGAAGAAAGAAUACUAAAAAGACUCUCUCAAAAUCGAAACUUUUUGCGAACUUUUUAGCAUCUCAUGUUUUUGAGAUUAAUAACUAACAUUAUCUGAGAUUUAUUAAGUUUUCACAAAAUUCCCUUACGUAUGAGAUAUUACGCUAACAACACUUUAGUGUAAUGUCUCAAACGUAAUGGGACCUUGUAAAAUUUGAUUAACUUCGACAGUAUUAGUAUAUUUUUAUGUAAAUAUUAUAAAAUAUUAUGUUAAAUACAUUAAAUAACAGAUAGUCUUUAAGAGAGAUUUCUUACAUCUUUCUAAUGGAUACGGACGGUGGAAAAAGAUCAUUCCAUAAUUAAAUAUUGUGCUGUUGAUUACGCGUCUCUCCAUUUGACUAAGUUCCUUUUCACAUUCUUCCCUAAAUAAAAUGGUUCACUUUUCACAUUAUUACAAUAUUUAUAUUUAUAUUUUUACAAAAGGGAUUCGUCUAAAUUAAAUUUUUCGAAAAAUUUCGUAUAGUGAGUGAAAGUGAAACACUCCCUUUGUUAUGAUUAUGACAAUAUUUAUAUUUUUACAAAAGGGAUUUAUCUAAAUUAAAAUUUUCAAAAUUCCGAACAAGAUUUGAACUUUCGUGUAUAUGAAUAUAUGGAGUAAAUUGAUCAUGGCUGAAAAUAUGGCAGUGGUUGUGUUUGUGUUGCCUAACGGAUGAUAUUGAAAUACCUAAACACAAGUCAAGCUCCUUCAGUUAACAAAAACAGAAGUUUAUAAUAUGAUAAUGUUGGCGCACGGACUUGAGAAACAACAUAGGCCGGGAAUGUGCACAAAAAGUAAGAGAGAGGUAAAGAGGAAAGAAACGAACAUGAAAGAACAAAGACUAUCGAAUACAUUAUAAAACAAUGACUUCUUGGUAGUCAUUACAUCUCAACCAUCAAUAAUGCAUUAAUUUUGGUUGAAAUGUAGAAGUAUUUGAGAAGUAGCAUGACAACAACCACAUAAUAAACAAAAGUGGACGCAAAUGUGAAAGGAUAAUUAAAAACAAUUAUUCAAGAUGGGCGGUAGUUGAUUCAGCCAUUUAGAAGAUUCAAACCUAGAAUCAUUAUUGUAUUAACUAUUAACAGGUGCUAUAAUAUAGUUCUUAGGGAUUUCAAGGAGGCAUAUGGGGGACUACAUAAUGUGCAAUAGGAUUAAACUUUUUUUGUUACUAGGCAAAUGAACCAUAUUGAAAAAAGUUGAGGUUUAACCAUAAAAUUAAUUGACGAUAUAAAAAGUAGCUCAACCUCUUAUAAGCGUUUGCAAGAUUUCUCUUUUGACCUAUACAAGACUCUUUUACUUUCACAUCCUCGAACAUAUAAUACACCCAAAUGGAUGCCAAUAUAUAAACAUUGUUUUGAAAGGACAAGGGAGCUAACAGUGUCUUUUUAUAUGACUUGGACUUGGAGUACGGGCUGCAAAUUGCAUGCAAUUGCAACGAGAGCCAAAGAUAAUUGCCUUGUCCUUCAAAUUUGUUGGUAAAUUGGGGAUUGCACGAAGAUUUUCGCACUAAUCUGAAUACAGUGUUUCAAGCUUUUAAAGACCACUGAAGCUUUGAAAACUCUGUUGAUUUUACUUCCCAAGUAAGUGACAUAAAACUAAAUUGGGCAGUUGCAUGACAACAACCACUUAAUAAUCAAAAGUGAUUCGAAAAAGACCGAAAGUGAGAUGACCGCAUUCUUUUUCAGACAACUUUGGUAGAUUCCAGAAUAAACUAUUAUACAUGAAGAUGGGCGGUGGUAAUUGUCCUUUUGAUUAAAGUUUUUUGAGUCGAAAAUCAUUUUUCUAUAAUUAAUUCUUAACUAGAAAUUUGUACCAGUACACCGUUGUGGGACUGAAAAUCUUAUGAAAUAUUUUAUAACUUUAAUUUUCAUAAAUAAUGUGCGAGUGAAAAACAAAAAAUUACGAAUGGUAAUGCAAUUUAUAUGUAACCUUAUCAUGAACGGAACAAAUUUAGAUACUAAAAGAAAAAUUAAAAAUCUAUUUUUUCAAAGUGCGAAGAGAUAAUUGUUUAUUAAAAAAGUUGGACCAAUGAUAACUGCAUAAAUUACAAAUGCAAUAUUAAGAGUAUACCAGUCAAACUAAGCUUGCUACAGGCUAAACAAUGUUGAAAAACAUCAUUAGCUUUUUCAAGUGUUAUAUGCAAUGAAUGUAAUUAGCACGAAACUAGCACGAAACUGCAGAGGCUUUCGAUCCAUUAUAAUAUAAAAUAAAUAAUAAUAUUUACGUAUAAAAUAUGAUAUGAUUAUAUGAAAGUAACGACCCAAAUCUUAUUGGAGCUAAUUAACUAAUGUAUGCUCAUCAGGCAGCUGGAUUCCUUGGCAAGUGUUUAACCCCUACUUUCUUCACGCUCACAGAAUCACCAUUUGCAAAGUCAAUCGGCCUCACACCAAUAAAAACUUAAUCCCCGGCUAGUAAACUGAUCAGCUUAUCGUCCGAUAUAUGUCACUGCAAAGAUAAUCACCUUGUCUUUCAAAUUUGUUGGUAAAUUGGGGAUUGCGAGAAGAUUUUCGCACUAAUCCAAAUAUAUUGUUUCGAGCUUUGAAUGACCACUGAAGCUUUGAAAAGUCUGAUGGUUUUGUUAGGUCAUGUGUAUGACUAACGUUAAUGAUUUUCAACUUCCCAAGCAACUGUUACACAACUAAAUUUAAAAUCCAAGAGGAGGAUAUGAUCAGAGAAGAAAGAAAUGCAAUCCACUAAUAAUCAACAUCGAUAUUGUCUUCAACUUAAUCAUGAAUAAGUUUUAAGGCACAAAAGACCUCAUGCUUUUGUAGUUGAGCCAUUUAAUGUAAGGAGAAUCACAAUGUUAGUUAACCACAUCACAGUACAAAAGCACUAAAAGCGUCCAAGUGAAAGUGAAAGUGCUUUCUUCUCAUGUAGUUUCAUUUAACUUAAUUUUCCACAAUGGUAAUUAUGUUUCAAUGGUUCUGUUUUCACAUGCCAGUCGGUCAGUCACAUACUCAACUCCUUAAUGUUCGGGCUCAAUGGCUCGAAGAGAGCUUCCACUUCACUCUGAUUCACCUCCUCUAACUUUGACGGAUUCCACUUCGGAUUCUGCAUUGACAAGAAACAGAAGCCAGAGAUAAAGAUUCGUUGAUAUACGGAAAGUAAGAUGAUUAUACAACCGUAGGUCUAGUAGAGGCUGUAAUGGUUUAUGUUGCAGCAACUGCGUCAGCAAGUGAUUUUAUAGCAAGGAAUCUUGAGCAUAAUUAACGAACCUGAUCCUUGUCCACCAAAACUGCCGUACACCUUCAGCAAAAUCAUUCCGUAAAGACGAUCUUAUAGCAACGUGAUAUUCAGUUUCAUCACACCAGUUAACUGGUAUUGGUCAAGUAAAGCACAUGUUACUUUCUGAAAAUUUGAAAUACUACAACGCAAAACCUAUCAAAAGGAUGCAACCAUGUGAUGCAAGAAACGAAAAGGUACAAAGUCCAGACUCACUCUGGAUAAUUGAUUGUCAUUUUUCCCAAGCACGGAUGCAACUUUAGCGAAAUAAUUUUGUGUCAAAAAAGUGAAAACAGAGCACCCUUUCCAAGACCUUAAAGAGCUUCGUUAGCCCACUCACCACUGCAAUACAAACAAUUUAUACAAAAUACUUGACAGCGACAUACAAGCUGCUCAAUAGACAAAUGGCAUUAAAAAACUUACCAGUAGCAUCUGAACUCUGAUGCUGCUUUUUAAGUUCAUCAAUUGUCUCAAGAACCAACUUAUCUGCACCAAAUGCUGAAGUUAUUUGAGGUAAAAGAGUCUUGAGUUGCGCUUCAGAAUCUGGGUAGCUGGUGAAUUUCACCACAAUUGUUUCAAUGUCCUGAUGGGGAUCCUGGGAACUGAUUCAACAAUGGAGUUGCUUUUAUCUCAAGAAACGCAUUGGACAAUGUGAUGAUGGCAACUAAAGUUAAACCCACUGAAGCAUUGGAAAUUGCGUCUGAGGAUAGAAAAGGCAUACCUGCAGAUACUCCUCCCAGACUCUUUGCCUCUAUAUGUGAAAACCCAUCUGGGAACAAACCAAUUCCAUUCUCUGGCAUAGCAAGAACAGUCCUCAGAAAUGUAUCCAUACAAAGUUUGACACACAAAAUUAAAAAAGCCAUUGCAAUGUAAUUGACAACAUUGACAAUCUCUGUCUGACCGGGCAAUAAUGCCUCUGUAAUGAUCCGGUAGCGACUGUGACCUGAUAGGCCAAUACCAAAGCCCACUGUUAUGCCAUCCAUGAAGCUUAUAUGGGCUUCUUGUACUCGGAGAUAUUGCAUAUUAGAGAAUACUCAGCAGUGAAUACCUGAAAAACGUGCAGCACAAAUAUCAUAUCGGUAGCCUCUCAAAUCUUAAGAAAACUACAAAUGGUAGCUUAGAAAAGAAAUGAAUCCUCUCCAACCAAUACAAAUCAUAUUACCCAAGUUCAAGCAAAAUCAAGACUAAACAAAUGACCAGAUGUUGUAGGUUGCCAGAGAAUGUCAAACAUGAAAUUACAAAAGAAAAAAAUAAUCGUAUGUAUUGAACAUUAAUAAAUACAUGCUGAAAGCACAAUCUUAGCCGCAAUUUAUGACAUUUAUACAAGAUUAAAUCGCCAAAGAAAUUAAAGAAAUUGCAGAGCUCAUAUAAGUGAUGUUCACUAUGAACUUUUAGGCUUAUCAACAAAUACACCAUAACGAUUCUAAUGCAUGAAUUUUGUUAAAGGGGGCUUGCUUGCUUGUAUUAAGGCUUAAUCAUCAAUGAUUUUGCAAGGGUCAAUCGUAUUGCUAGUUGUAAAUCUAUUCACUAUGAAAAUUACCAAAAUUACAUCUAAUAUGGUAGUGAAGGAAGUCAUCUUACAUUAUCUGGAAUUUAGAAAACUGUGUAAGGUUAUAAUAUAUGGUUACAAGGACACAAUUAGACCUCAAUCAUAUUCGGUGGUUGGUUUUUGGCCGUGAUCUGCUUCACAUCACCGCCUGCAGGUAAACUAAAUCUGGGUUACUACAUAUCAAUGAAUCAACGUGCCAACUUAACGGACACCAUCUAUCUCUAUAUGGCAAAAAAAACAACACAAAAAGGAACAUGAAGUGAAACAAUAAACAACAUGACAUGAAACAGCACGAACAUCAAAGACCAACAAUCUAUCACGUAAGCACCUAAACAAGAAACAACUUUAGUUCAAAGCAAAGCGUAAUGUAGAAACCUUCGGCACAACAGGUGUGUUUUUGUCCUUUCGAGUUUCGGCAACAACCACUUUAAUAUCCUUUCCUGCAUUUACCAUGAUUGGUCACUCUUAAAACCUUAACUCCGCCGUGUAAGUUUAUCUUACAUUGCCGGUCCCAAGCCCGGAUAAAGGAGGAGGGGGAGGGCGUCAGGUAGUCGACAGCCGGCACUCCAUGAUUACGUCGAAUCCUUACGAAAAUGAAUCCAGAACGAAAUCGCGCUAAAGCUAGGGCGUCACCCGUAAGUGGCGCGCUGUGUGGCCCGAGCACAGUGAUAAGUGAGCAAGGGUCGCUAUAUCUCCAUCGGCACCCGGAUGCAGUGUUAAAUGAGCAAGGGGGCUAUAGAAACUUCUUUUCGAACGACUCCACUCAAAGUUGUUUGGGAGCAUAUGCUCCUAUCAACUUUACACGGGACACACAAAAGAAGUACUUUGAUCCUAUUAGACGGGGAAGGGUGAAGAAGCUAGGACAGAAGGGUAGAGUUCAAGAGAGCAAAAUGCGUUUAGGAACGUGGAAUAUAGGAACCUUGACGGGAAAAUCUAUGGAAGUAGUAGCAGUUAUGGUGAGGAGAAGGAUAAAUAUUAUGUGCCUACAAGAAACUAAGUGGGUUGGGCGUAAGGCAAAGGAUCUAGAAAACUCAGGGUUUAAACUAUGGUAUUCGGGCACAAAUAGAACGAGAAACGGUGUUGGCAUCAUCGUGGACAAGACCUUGACACAAGAUGUUGUAGAUGUUAAGAGGGUAGGAGAUAGAAUCAUGUCAAUCAAGAUUGUAAUAGGACAAGAACUUAUCAAUGUGAUUAGUGCGUACGCACCUCAAGUAGGGUUGGAUACGAGUUCGAAGGAGAAAUUUUGGGAAGACCUUGGAGACUUGGUGCAAGGAAUUGCUCAGACGGAGAAGUUAUUUAUAGGAGGAGAUUUAAAUGGACACGUGGGCAGGGAGACAGACAACUAUGGAGGUUUUUAUGGUGGCCAUGGUUUUGGGGAGAGAAAUGAGGAUGGGGAAGCUAUCUUGAAUUUUGCAAUGGCAUAUGAUCUCUUCUUAGCCAACACCUUCUUUAAGAAGAGAGAAGAACAUGUGAUCACCUACAAGAGUGGGUCGUCAAAAACACAAAUAGAUUUUCUCCUAAUGAGGAAAGGGGAUCGUAUAACUUGUAAGGAUUGCAAAGUUAUACCAGGAGAGAGCGUGGCUAAUCAACAUCGCUUGUUGGUGAUGGAUGUAAAUAUCAAAAGAGUGAGAAAAAAGAACAAGACUUGGAAGUGCCCAAGGACUAGAUGGUGGAAUCUAAAAGAAGAAAAACAAGCCAUUUUCAAAGAGAAAGUAAUCACCCAGUGUGUGUGGGAUAGAGAGGGGGAAGCUAACCAAAUGUGGGAUUCCAUGGCUAGUUGUAUCCGAAAAGUAGCAAAAGAGGUAUUAGGAGAGUCCAAGGGCUUUGCCCCACACCAAAAGGAAUCUUGGUGGUGGAAUGAGGAGGUACAAACAAAGGUGAAGGCUAAGAAGGAAUGUUGUAAAGCCUUAUACAAGGAUAGGACCGAUGAAAAUGGUGAAAGGUAUAGAAAAGCGAAGCAAGAGGCGAAGAAAGCUGUGAGAGAAGCUAAGUUAGCGGCUUAUGACGAUAUGUAUAAGCGACUAGAUACCAAAGAAGGAGAGUUGGAUAUCUAUAAACUAGCUAGAGCAAGGGAAAAGAAAGACAAGGGACCUAAACCAAGUGAGGUGCAUCAAGGAUGAGGAUGGAAAGGUUCUUGCUACAGAGAACGCGGUUAAAGACAGAUGGAAAGGUUAUUUUCAUAAUCUUUUCAAUGAAGGACAUGAAAGGAGUGCUUCUUUAGGGGAGUUGAGUAACUCAGAAGAGUGUAGAAACUACUCUUUUUUAUCGUAGAAUUCGGAAGGAAGAAGUGGUUGUAGCUUUGAAGAAGAUGAAGCAUAGAAAAGCAGUAGACCUAGACGAUAUACCAAUUGAAGUGUGGAAAGUUUUGGGAGAGACAGGUAUAACAUGGCUCACUGACCUUUUCAAUAGGAUUUUGAAAACGAAGAAGAUGCCAAAUGAGUGGCGAACGAGCACUUUGGUGCCUAUCUACAAGAAUAAGGGUGAUGUACAAAAUUGCAUGAACUAUAGGGGUAUUAAGCUAAUGAGUCAUACAAUGAAGCUCUGGGAGAGAGUCAUUGAGCAUAGAUUGAGGCAAGAGACACGGGUUUCGGACAACCAAUUCGGGUUCAUGCCAGGGCGCUCAACCAUGGAGGCAAUCUAUCUCUUACGAAGAUUGAUGGAAAGAUAUAGAGAUGGGAAAAAGGAUUUACACAUGGUCUUUAUAGAUUUGGAAAAAGCGUAUGAUAGGGUCCCAAGAGACAUUCUUUGGAGGAUUUUAGAGAAGAAAGGAGUACGAGUAGCAUAUAUCCAAGCUAUACAGGAUAUGUAUGAAGGAGCAAAGACUGCCGUAAGAACUCAUGAAGGACAAACCGAAAGCUUUCCCAUAACUGUAGGAUUACAUCAAGGCUCAUCCUUAAGUCCUUACCUUUUUGCGUUGGUAAUGGAUGAGUUAACAGGACAUAUUCAAGAUGAUAUUCCUUGGUGUAUGCUUUUCGCAGACGAUAUAGUGUUGAUAGAUGAAACUCAGGAAGGGGUAAAUGCAAAGCUUAACCUUUGGAGAGAAGUGUUGGAAUCUAAAGGUCUUCGCCUAAGCCGAUCAAAGACAGAAUAUAUGGAGUGCAAGUUCAGUGCAAAUGGAGGCCAAAACGAGUUAGGGGUGAGGAUCGGAGAUCAAGAAAUACCAAAGAGCGACCGUUUUCGUUACCUAGGAUCUAUCUUGCAAAAGAACGGAGAAUUAGAUGGAGAUCUCAACCAUAGAAUACAAGCUGGAUGGAUGAAGUGGAAGAGAGUGCAUCCGGCGUAUUGUGUGACCGCCGUAUGCCACUGAAGCUCAAGGGAAAAUUUUAUAGGAACGGCAAUAAGGCCGGCGAUGCUGUAUGGCACAGAAUGUUGGGCGGUGAAGCAUCAACACGUACACAAAAUGGGUGUAGCGGAGAUGAGGAUGCUUCGUUGGAUGUGUGGGCACACGAAGAAAGGAUAAGAUUAUGGAAUGAGGAUAUCCGGGGUAAAGUAGGAGUAGCCGAAAUUGAAGGAAAGAUGAGAGAAAAUCGGUUACGGUGGUUUGGACAUGUGCAAAGAAGGCCUACUGACGCUCCGAUUAGAAGAUGCGACUAUGGGACAGAGGUUCAGGGCCGAAGGGGUAGAGGAAGACCUAGGAAAACUUUGGAAGAGACCCUAAGAAAAGACUUAGAGUACUUGGAUCUAACGGAGGACAUGACACAGGACAGAACACAAUGGCGUUCUAAGAUUCAUAUAGCCGAUCCCACUCAGUGACUUGGAUUUUCCAAGUCUCCAACCGAGAAGUUUUCCUCACUCGGGAAAUUAAGGGAACACUACCUCAACCUACAUGCUCCACUCACAAAGCUUCAACAAAAGAAAAAUUCAAAGAACUUAGCGAAGAAGGCUUUUGGUGUAUUUAACACAAUACGUUGAAAUGAAGGAAAGCUUAUUUAUUGAUAUCCCCGAUAAGUUACAAAUAUGUACAUAUACUUGAGUCAAAAUAAACAAACAAGAGGGAGCCUUCACAAAGGUUGCUUAGGAGAAGUCUCAGCAGUCGGUAGAGCCCCAGAAAGAGAAGGCACCGGAGGGGGAUCAUUCGGAGCCUCAGUACUGGACAGAACCCUAGAAGGAGGAGGCAUCAGAGGUUGAUCAUUUGGAGCUUCAUUACGCGGUACAGCCCCAGAAGACGAAGGCAAUAAAUGCCUUUGGAACAAACCCACAAAUCUCUGAUGAUCAAGUAAAACCUGACCAUCAGAUUCCUUCAUCUGGUCAAGCUUCCUCUUCAUGUUUGUAGCAUAGUCAUGUGCGAGCCGGUGCAACUGUUUAUUCUCAUGCUUGAGCCCUCUAAUCUCCUGUUUGAGACUCAUCACUUCAGCCGCCAAUGAUUCAACUUGGCGGGUUCGAGCAAAUAGGCGUUGGGCCAUAUUAGACACAGAACCUGCACACUGAACACUGAAGAGCCAGAGAAUCCUUAACAGCCAACUCAUCAGACCGUUUGGAAAGUAGUCUGUUAUCUUUGGGAGUGAGAAGGUUCCUAGGCCACUACCGCAGCGGUCAUAUCAUUCUUCAUCACGGAAUCCCCAACGGUAAGAGGACCAGUAGGGGAGACGAAGGAUGGGCGCCAUAUGUUGUCUGAAGAAGGCGGGGCUGCCUCUUCAACAAGGUUCAAGUCAAAACGACGGUCGGAGGGGCCAGACAUUUUCAAAGGUGUUGAAGAGAGAAGAGGUCGGACAAAUCAAGAUCUUAGAAGUGCAAGAAUGGAGCUUCUACUGGUGGAUAUUCAAGUGUGCUUUGGAACUUAAUGUCAGCCCCUAUAAAAAAUCUGCACUCGACGAAGCUUCAGAAAUCGAAGAGGCGCCUGCUCAGAAAUCGAAGAGGCGUUUGCUUUCUCAAAAGCUGGGCUGCUCAGAGACCACGAGGGUUUGAUCUCAGAAAUCGAAGAGGCGUUUGCUUUCUCAAAAGCUGGGCUGCUCAAAGACCACGAAGGCCGAUCUCAGAAAUCGAAGAGGCUUGCUUUCUCAAAAGCUGGGCUGCUCAGAGACCACGAGGGCCGAUCUUAGAAAUCGAAGAGGCACCUACUUUUCCAGCCUUGUCAGCACCUGUCACACGCACACUCAGCUUUGCGGAAAUUAUGGGCAUUCUGUCGAAGAUUUCUGGUGAAGUAGAAAGCACAUGAAUCGUACUGUUCAAUCACCCACUUCCCACACGCAACAGUAGCUCAUGGGUACCACAGAUAACUUUGCCAAAGUUCUCUGACAAAGUUGAGACACGUGAAGCUUGCAGCUCCCACUACAUCGCUCUGACCAAGAAGGGUAAAAGAAUAGCAAAGAAACAACACUAACAAAGUUUAGACACAUAAAUUUUGAAGGUCUAGCUACCAUAUUAUUACCCACAAGGGUAAAGGAACAGUACCACUGCUGGAUAAUUGGAAAGUCCCGGUGUGUCAACCUCUGUGCUUCGUGGCAAGGUAGACUAGCAAACAUGCCCAACCUUUACUCACAUUCGAGAAAACACUCCCAACAAGAUUGCUUGCUCCAAAAUCGAAGAGGCACCCGCUCCUCCGAAUCUCGAGAGCCAGACUCCCAACAUGAUUACUUUCUCAAAAAUCGAAGAGACAUCCGCUCUCCGAAUCUCGAGAGCCAGACCUCCAGCAGGAUUGCUUUCUCAAAAAUCGAAAAGGCAUCGUUCUCCGAAUCUCAAGAGCUGGAUCCCUGACAGGAUUGCUUGUUCGAAAACCAAAGAGGCACCACUUUCCCAACUUCAAGAGCUGGAUCUCCUUGGAUAAAGCUUGUCUGUAAUCUUCACACACGCAACAUCAGCUUUUCCAGAUACCACAGACCCACUUUUUCAAAGUGCUCUGACAGAGUUAAAACUUGUGAAGCUGGCAGCUCCCACUACCGUGCUAUGACCAAGCAGGGUAAAGGAAUAGCAUUAUUACUUGAUGUUAGGGAGACUCCUAUAUAUGUCGACCUCCAUCCCCAACGGACAGGCAGACCUGCAAAAAUGCUCAACCCUUCCUCUUAUCUGAGAGGGCACUCCCAACGAAGCCUUUCGAAAUAUUCAGCUUUCUUUCCCCCCGAUAAUACCUCUGUAAACAAGCUAUACUAGAGCAAGAAUAUCUCAUAUCAUCAGGGUUAAAAGCAAGAGUAUCCCAUAUCAUGCUUUUUUCCCGUCUUUUCCUUUGGCCUUGUUCUUACCUGCAAGACAAGGAGAAAGAGAGCAAUCAGUCAGCACUUGGAAUCAAGCUUCCAGCCAGGAACUGACUGCCUGGAACCCCUUACCUGAUUACUUACCUGGCAUUGCUCUCGAGUACUCAUCUUCAACAUCUUAUGCUUCCAGGGAAGAUACCGCAAUCGCCUGAAGAACAGAUAGGGCAAGUGAGAAGGAUACAAGGAAGCAUGUGGAGACAAGCGUAACAGCACACGUGCCGAUACAUCCACUACUCUGUCAAAAGCAAAAGUAUCUCAUAUCAGCAGGGUCGAACGUACUCUAGAUUUGAUGGACUUGUUUUGACCCUCAAAUUCUUCAGUCGGCCUUAUACUCUGGAGGAAACCAGAAAACCCUCCAGCCCAGUUCAAGAAUAAGCCUGUGGAAAGUUACUUCUUCAAAAGCAAAAAGUAUCCCAUAUCAUCUCUUCUCAUUUUUCUUCUCUUUAUCCUUCAUGCUGCAUGCAAGAUAGGGAGAAUGUGAACAAUCAGCCGGAGCUCUGAUUGCUUACCUUGUCUGUCAUCUCUUUCAGCAGAUCCCCUAGCUCGGCGACUUAGGGGACUCCUACUACAUGGUUUGUAUCGCGCUUGACCAAGCCUGAAACUACAAGUAAGCUUCAAGUGACAAUUGAUACAUUACCUUGUGCAUCUCCACCAGUUACAGAUACCACCCCUGGAUGGAGGAAGAGUACUUCCAGAGAAGAUGCCACAUCUACCUAUGAGACAGAUAAGGAAAGUCAAGACGAUACCACACUCCGGUACUUAGAAGUUUCGUGGUUACGAGAUCAUUCUCCCACAAUAUUUCCUAAUGUCAUUUGUACUAAAUCAUUCACUUGUACUCACUAAAGGAGAGCUUGAACCUAUGUACUUGUGUAAACCCUUCACAAUUAAUGAGAACUCCUCUAUUCCGUGGACGUAGCCAAUCUGGGUGAACCACGUACAUCUUGUGUUUGCUUUCCUAUCUCUAUCCAUUUAUAUACUUAUCCACACUAAUGACCGGAGCAAUCUAGCGAAGAUCACAAAAAGUGACCGUUUUCGCUACCUAGGAUCUAUCCUUGCAAGAGAACGGAGAAUUAGAUGGAGAUCUCAACCAUAGAAUACAAGCUGGAUGGAUGAAGUGUAAGAGUGCAUCCGGCGUGUUGUGUGACCGUCGUAGGCCACUGAAGCUCAAGGGAAAAUUUUAUUUUAUAGGACGGCAAUAAGGCCAGCGAUGUUGUAUGGCACAGAAUGUUGGGCGGUGAAGCAUCAACACGUACACAAAAUGGGUGUAGCGGAGAUAAGGAUGCUUCGUGGGAUGUAUGGGCACACGAGAAAGGAUAAGAUUGGGAAUGAGGAUAUCCGAGGUAAAGUAGGAGUAGCCAAAAUUGAAGGAAAUAUGAGAGAAAAUCGGUUCCAGUGGUUUGGACAUGUGCAAAGAAGGCCUACUGACGCUCCGGUUCGAAAAUGUGACUACGGGACAGAGGUUCAGGGCCGAAGGGGUAGAGGAAGACCUAGGAAAACUUUGGAAGAGACCCUAAGAAAAGACUUGAGUACUUGGAUCUAACGGAGGACAUGACACAAAACCGAGCGCAAUGGCGUUCUAGGAUUCAUAUAGCCGACCCCACUUAGUGGGAAAAGGCUUUGUUGUUGUUGUUGUUGUUGUGGUCACUCUUAAAACCUUACCUAAGAGACCCAAAAACAAAAAUAACCGCCGAAAGAGCUAAACAUACAUAUAUAGAAAAACUUAAUUAACUGCAUGCUAAAAUGGAAGUGUAAAAUUGCCAAGAAAGAUAAGAAACUAUUUAAAUACGAAUUCUGGGCAUUACCGCCACAAAAGGCAUGAGCCGAACAGCUAUCAACAAGAACACACUUCCCAUUCAUCCAGAUAGCCCUUGUAUUUCACAUCCAUAUCUGCAUUUUCCAACAAUUCCCACUUAAACAGAAACACAAAAUUCAUCGAAAAAAUGCUAACUUCUUCGAAAUUUGAAUCCAACGUUUCGUCUUAUAACAAAUGCAAUAACAUAGAUUUGUAAUCAAUUCGAUGCCAUAAAGUUCAAGCUCAAAAUUUCAAAUCAGCUCCAAAUCAAAAGCAUUUACAGAUACAUACAUAUAUACAUAUGCGUGUGUGUGUUUAUCUACAUACCCAGGUUCAUGGCGUUGAGAGCUCGGCAGGCGACGGAGGGUGAUGACGGCGACGCCAAUUGGGUGGACGCUGCCCUUCGAAUUGGGUCGCUCCUCGCAAUAAGCUUCCCAUUACUUCCGUUUGAGAGUGACUGUCAGUGUAGAGAGAGGGAUUUUUUUUUUGUGCUUCUGGACCGGACUACACUUGAUGUUUCGGUUAUAUUACCGGGAAAAAGAACUGCCGCGGUGGCUACGCAGGGAAACUUGAAAUUUGAAAGAAGUAUGAAGUAUGGACUUGCCUUCAUUUAUUGAACUGAGAAAUCGAAAUCUGAAAGAGGCGUUUGACGAAGUGAUUGUGAUCUGACUCAAACAUGUGAUGAUGACGAUGCAUCACCACCUUGGUUGUGCCUCUGGAUCAAAAACAUACCAUCACCAUCAAAAUCGUGCAUAUUUUCCUUCAUAGGUUUGUCCCAUACUAGAUUAACCCCUAUUCCCUUAAUUAUUGCAUAAUAAGAAUUAUAGCAUGUCUCUGGCAUUCCAACGGCUAUAUCAACUUUAUCCCCGCUUUGCAAAUUGAACUUAUCGUUGGACAUUUGUCCCUGCCAAAGAAAACAUUUUUCAGGUAAACCAUCGUGCAUUUUUAUAACCCAAUCUUCCUUGCCUAUGCAGGUUUGCAACUCAGUACGCUUGGUAUUAUUUAUAUCAAUACUGCCACGAGGAUGACAAUAUUUAAAGCUCAUAGAAGGGCUUGAGGGACAAGUUAAGUGAUAAAAGCAUAACAGAGUCAACCCUUCAAAAUUACGACCAUCACUUGGGGGGUAUCAAAACUGACUUUAUCACCAUCGUUGACAAACUCGAACCAAUCAGGAACAUAAUUCGCAUCGAGAAAAAUGCCAGCAUAUCCGUAAGAAGUCCAUCCCUAUAUAUACAGUGCAAGUGUCAUAUACAUACAUACAUACAUACAUACAUACAUAUAUGUAAAUGUGCAUUGUGUGUGCAUGUGCGCAAUAGGAAGACAAUUAAAGAGAGAGAUACCUUUAGGACCUUCCUCCUAAAAUCAGCUGUGAGAUUGGUGCACUUUUGCAUUACAAUCCAUUUCAUGGAGUUUAAUGACUUAUCCAAGUCCGGAAUCUCUGUGAGUGCGUGUGAACCAGUUACAUUCAGUUCUCUCAUAUUUGACAUUUUCGAAAAAUUGGGCAUUUUUACCAAACAACAGCAACCAUAAGCAUCCAGAAAUUUCAAAUUUGUUGGUAAAUCAUAGAUUGUAUGAAGCUGGGAACAAUAACUUAACCACAUACCUUCAAGCUUUGAAAGACCAUUGAGGCUGGGUAGGGUGUGUAAGAUACUGCAGUGACUUAACUCCAGAGUUUUAAGAUUUGAAAGACCAUUGAGGCUGGGUAGGGUGUGUAAGUUACUGCUGUGACUUAAUUCCAGAGUUUCAAGAUUUGAAAGACCAUUGAGGCAGGGAAGGGUGUGUAAGUUACCACAGUGAUUUAACCACAUAGUUUUAAGAUUUGAAAGACCAUUGAGGCUGGGUAGGGUGUGUAAGUUACUGCAGUGACUUAACCACAGAGUUUUAAGAUUUGAAAGAUCAUUGAGGCUGGGUAGGAUGUGUAAGUUACUGCAGUGACUUAACCCUAGAGUUUUAAGAUUUGAAAGACCAUUGAGGCUGGGUAGGAUGUGUAAGUUACUGCAGUGACUUAACUCCAGGGUUUUAAGAUUUGAAAGACCAUUGAGGCUAGGUAGGGUGUGUAAGUUACUGCAGUGACUUAACCAUAGAGUUUUAAGAUUUGAAAGACAAUUAAGGCUGGGUAGGGUGUGUAAGUUACUGCAUUGACUUAACCCCAGAGUUUUAAGAUUUGAAAGACCAUUGAGGCUGGGUAGGGUGUGUAAGUUACUGCAGUGACUUAACUCCAUACCUUCAAGCUUUGAAAGACCAUUGAGGCUGGGUAGGGUGUGUAAGUUACUGCAGUGACUUAACUCCAGAGUUUCAAGAUUUGAAAGACCAUUAAGGCUGGGUAGGGUGUGUAAGUUACUGCAGUGACUUAACUCCAGGGUUUUAAGCUUUGAAAGACCAUUGAGGCUGGGUAAGGUGUGUAAGUUACUGCAGUGACUUAACCACAGAGUUUUAAGAUUUGAAAGACCAUUGAGGCUGGGUAGGGUGUGUAAGUUACUGCAUUGACUUAACCCCAGAAUUUUAAGAUUUGAAAGACCAUUGAGGCUGGGUAGGAUGUGUAAGUUACUGCAGUGACUUAACUCCAAAGUUUUAAGCUUUGAAAGACCAUUGAGGCUGGGUAGGGUGUGUAAGUUACUGCAGUGACUUAACUCCAGAGUUUUAAGCUUUGAAAGACCAUUGAGGCUGGGUAGGGAGUGUAAGUUACUGCAGCGACUUAACCCCAGAGUUUUAAGCUUUGAAAGACCAUUGAGGCUGGGUAGGGUGUGUAAGUUACUGCAAUGACUUAACCCCAGAGUUUUAAGAUUUGAAAGACCAUUGAGGCUGGGUAAGGUGUAUAAGUUACUGCAGUGAUUUAACUCCAGAGUUUUAAGUUGUGAAAGACCACUCAGGCCGGGUAGGGUAUGAAGGUUACAGCAGUUACUUAACUGCAAAUUUUCAAGUUUUGAAAGACCACAUAGGCUGGGUAGGGUAUGAAAAUAAUGUUUUGAGAGAUCUAAAUUUCCGUCUAACGAAUUGGGAAACUGCAAAGUAAACUUCGAUUCCACAGACGCUAGAGAUAAAUGAGUGAGAUUCUUCAAUCUUACUAUGGAACAGGGUACUUGUCUUAUGGCUGUGGAAGAUGCUAUAAGUACUCUCAAUGAUGUCAUCUUCCCUAAAUCCUCGGGCAGUUCACUGAAUUGCUGACAUCCAUUAAGAACAAGAGUCUGAACGGAUUUGGACUUGUAGAAAUCCCCAGGAAGAGAAAUAAGAUUCUGGCAGCCUGUGAGGUUCACCAAAGAAAGUUUUUUAAGAUGACAAAUGGAGGGGUGAAUCUCGGACAAACUGUUACACCAUUCCAAUAUCAACUCUUCAAGAUUUAGGAGAUUUGAAAAGUCUGGUGAUUUUUUUAAGUCAAGGCAAUAACUGAGAUUAAGGAUUUUCAAGUUUCCAAGCGACUGUUGCACAAAAUCAAAGGAAAAUUAAAAUUAAUAUCCAAAAACAAAUGGAAACAUAACAUCAUCAUGUGUAAUCGAUUGUACCUUGGAGCCCUCCCAAACUUGUACAAGUCUGCUAUACGCUAUCUCUAAAAUAACCAGUGCUCUUGGUUGAUCAAAGAAGUGAUCUGGUAUGGACUUUAAAGGGCAUCCAAACCAACGCAACCAUAUUAACUCUUUGGAAAGAUGUUUGUAUUCUCCAUUGAGCUGCACGUUGUAGAGCUGCAGCAGUCUCAGUUUCUUCAUAUUGGCAAAUGCUUCUGUACUGAAGCUUCGAAGCCUUUGCAGCCAAUGAUCUCCAGAAAAAUUAAGAGCAAGUCCUUUAACUUCUUCAGUUCCCUGUUAACAAAAGGUUAUAUUCAUGUGUAAGAAACGGAAUAUUUGCAUAUGUUUACAUGUAUGAAUACAUGCAAGUACUAUUGUUGGCUAAUUGAGAUGAUGUUACUUAAUGUAUAAUACACAUCCGUGAGUUAUAUGUGCUUUUCAUGUACGAUGCAUCAAUUCAGAAUUUUAUUGGGACUAUACUUACAAAUUUAUCUCUCAAUACAUCAAUGACCUCUUGCUGGUUCCACAACCUACUCCAUUCUCCAGGGUGACGAGGGGAUUUUUCAGAAAUGAUUAAUUUGGCCAUUUCUUGAAGCAAAUCAUGCAUAUUCAACUUCUUGUGUUCAAUAGUGAUAAGGCAUCGUUCACAGAGGACAUUGAUUCCUAUUGUUGCAAAAAACUUACAUCCAUCUAAUAUUUUUGCGACAUAGUCCUUAUCCCAUCCAAUAAAGAAACAAGAUAUGUCAAGGAAUAUAUCCUUUUGUGUAGGAUCUAGCCUUUCAAAGCUUACUCUUAGUGGUUUCAUUAUUCCUUCAUCAGGAAAUUUUUUCAAUUUCUCCAACUGACUUUUCUACUCUGUUGGUGUUCUUUCAAUCAUAAAAGAAGAACCUAAAACUGCAAGGGCUAGUGGCAAACCACCACAGUAAGAAACAACCUCUUUUGAGAGUUCAAGAUAUCCUUCAUUAGGCCAACUCUUUCCAAAGGCAUGCCAACUAAAGAGCUUCAGAGCUUCUUCUUCAUUCAUUUCCUUAAGUGAAUAUGUCUUGUCCACUUUCAUGUUCACUUGCUUUAGAAAACGUUCAUCUCGUGUCGUUAUGAUAAUUCUACUUCCUGGGCCAAACCAAUCACGAUUUCCAGCUAUUGCAUCUAGUUGUUCCACUUUGUCUACAUUGUCAAUAAUGACAAGCACGCUUCUACGUUGGAGAUGAUUUUUUAUCAGACUGAUACCUCUAUCAACACUGGUUAUCUUAGACUCGGUAUGUUUCAAGAUGUCAGAAACAAGUCUUCCUUGCAAAUCAACCAGAUCACAUUCACUAACGUUGGCAAGGAAACUUUUGAAUUGGAACUUAUGAUGAAGUUGGUUAUAAAUGGCUUUGGCAGCUGUUGUUUUACCCAAUCCACCAAUCCCCCAAAUUCCAACCAUGCGAACAACAUAUGAUCCACCAUUUGAAAGAUAAGUGAUGAUAUCUUGAAUGCGAGUAUAUAUUCCAACUGGGUGCUUGGCCAAAUGUAAAUUUUCUGCGCUCGGAAGCCAUUUUGGGAUAAUCUUGUCAACAAUUUCUCUAAUAAGCUUUGCUUCGCGCCUGAAAAAUUGAAUUGGUAAGCUUAGUAAGUAGGCUCAGUAGGAGCUAUUAGUACUAAUAUAAACAAUUUUCUUUCCUUCUUUCCUUCGUGUGUGUGUGUGUGUGUGUACAUAUAUGUACACAAACUAGCUACUAGCUAGUACGUGAUUUUGUGACCAACUUCAAUAAAAGAAACAAGUUCAUUCAUUGAUAUAUUAAAGUUUGGUGCAUCAAUUAAACUCCAAUUAUGGUUUAGAUUUUAGAGGAAAUUAGAGAAAUGGUCCUUGAACUAUGAUCAAAUUGUGGCCUUGGUUCUUAAAACUAAAAAUUCAAUAAAUCUCCUCCCUGAACUUAACAAAAUAUGAAGCAUUGGUCCCUAAAUGUUAACACCGUAUGAUUUUCUGUUAAUUUGAUUAUGUCGUCUUUGUGGGCUCCAUAUUAUUGUUUACUAGAUGGCACGUGGCUUGAAAAGUCAAAAUAAAAGAAAAUAAAUACAAACAUAGAGAAAGAAAGAGAGAGAAAAAAAAACUUUAAAUUAUAAAAGUUAACUCUCUCUCCCAUCCUCCCUUCCGCCUCACCUCCUCCAAACCCCAACCACACCAUUGUAGCACUUUCCCAACAGCCAAAACAAAAGAAAGUUUCUAAUCCAAUUUUGGAACACGUCUCCGUUUGCAAACGAAUUCACAAUGACAUCCAUUCACGCUGUCUCGACAGGUAAGAUUCAAGAAAUUUGUGGGAUGCGGGUUCGGGGUUCGGGUGAAGGCUGUGGUCCGUGGGCUACAGUUUGGAGUCGGCUGGAGAGUGGGAUUAGGGAUUGGGGGUUGGAAGUGGGAGGUUGACGGGGUGUGAAUCAAAGAUUGAAGGUGAAGGGGUGGCUGCGAGUGUUGGUGGGAUGAGGUAGGUGAAACUAACAUGUAAAGUUGUAAACCCUUUUAACUAAAAUUUAAAGGAAUUGGUUACGAAGGACUAACGCUCCAUAUUUUAUCAAGUUCAAGGGCAAAAUGUAAUGAAUUUUUAGUUUAGGAACCACAGCUACAAUUUUCCUCUAGAUUUUAUAUGAGAGAUUAAGGCGUAUUAAUUAAGCAUGAUAAUUAGAGUAAUACAACUUAAAUACUGAAAGCACAUGAAUGAUUACCUAUUAUCAGUGAUUUGAAGAUGGUAGCCAGACAAAUUUGCAGCUUUUGUAAGAACCUCUCCCCACUGCUUUACCUCUUCUUGUUUAGCUUCACGUUUCUUGUCAUCCUUUUCUUCACCGACGCCUUCUUCGUGCUUUUGAAAUUCUUCGGCUGACUUUGCAGCUUCUGUAAGAGCCUUUAUCCACUGCUCUACCCUUUCUCGUUUUUCUUCACGUUUCUUGUCAUCUUUUUCUUCACUGAUGUCAUUUUUGUGCUUCUGAAAUGCUUGGGCUAAAACUCCGUUCUGCUUCCUGACAUGUGAAGGAUCAAUGUGAUAGAAUAUUGGCAAAACAUGUCGCCCCAGUUUGUCUCUGCACUCCAUGAUCUUCACCAGCUCGUUAAGACACCAACUCGAAUCCGCAUACCUCUCUGAGAAGACAAUGAUAGAGGUCUUCGAUUCUUCGAUUGCCUGGAGCAGUUCUUUUGGUAUUUCUUCCCCUCUUUUGAGAUCGUCCUCAUCAAUAUAAGCCUGGUAUCCCCUGUCUGUUAAUGCCGCGUGGAGGUGGCCCGUGAAGCCAUUGCGUGUGUCUACACCGCUAAAGCUCAAGAACACGUCGUAAUUCCAAAGUUUUGACUUGGAGGAGGAUGAAGAGGAGGCUUCGUGGGUUGUCAUGGCGGUAUCCACCGUUAUGGCACUGCAGUGGUUCAGAUCACGACUGAAGAAUGGUAGUAGUUGUGUUCGUGCAUUCAAACGGAUGAUCCUGAAAUACCUAAACGCAAGUCAAGCUCCUUCAGUCAACAAGAACAAAGUUUAUAAUAUAAUAAUUUUGGCGUAUGGACUUGAGAAACGACAUAGUGUUGGCCGGAAGGUGCAGAAAAAGAGAGAGGAAAAAAGAAAAGAAAGGAACGAAAGGACAAAGACCAUCCAAAAGAUUCUUGGCUGUGAUUACAGCUAUUCAUAGGAGAAACAACGGACAUAUUUUCAUAGGAGAAACAACCUUCCCAUCUUCAUAUAUAAUGCAUUUCAACGGACAUAUUUUAAUAGGAGAAACAACUUUAGUUUGUACUAGAAAUUUUUACCCGCACGUUGAUGCGGCAUUUGAAAUUGUAUGAAAGAUUAUCUUUGAAAUAUAUAAUAGAUUGUGUGAUUGAAGAUUAAUACUAUUUACAUUGAAAACGUUGGAAAAAGUUUUACAUAUAAAAGAUUUUAUGAUACAAUCCACGUAUAAAAGAUGGUAAAUUUUGUUCUAUCUACAUGCAUUAUGUUAUGGAAUGAUAUAUAUAUAUAUAUAACUAAGUUCCAGAAUAUGUAAACUUCAUAACUUGGAAAUUUUUUGACAAAUUAAUCAGAUUCAACUGUGGGUUAGCAAGGUCGCCUAUAAAGUUUGAAGUCGUAGAAGCAUAAAGGACAAAUAACAAAUGAGUUUUGAGAAAUUAUUCCACAAAUGUCAUUCUGCAAAAUGUAUUAAAGACGAUUGGUAUAAGAUUAGCAAUCAUGAGUAGUGUAACAACAUCAACAAAAUAACCAUAAACCAUAACAUAAUUCAAAUUUUGUUUGCAAAAACAAAAGAAAAAGAAAAGAGACUUACAAUAAUUCAACCUUCAAUCUUGAAGUCCAGCUCAAAGAGCCAAACCUAAAUGCAAGCUUUCUGAAAUUUCCCAAACAAUACAGAUAAAACGGUAACACCCUAGUCAGAAAUGAACCAAGGUGCGAGCUUUCUAAGAAACCCAGAUGACAAAAUCAACAAAAUAGAAUGGAAAAAUGACUUACACUUUGAAGGCAUGCUCGAACCUUGAUCUAAAAUUGGUGGUGGGUCGAUUGUUGGUCACCAACUCUAAAUGAAGAAUUCAUCAGAACCUAGAAAUUUAAAACAAAGAAUUUUCCAAAAUCAACAUUUACUAAAAACCAGUUGCUUGGUUAUCAUGCAUGAUGGCUUGACAAAGACUGAAUUAAGGAAUGCAAACUUUACUUUCAUGAUUAUUUUUAAUGACAGCUAAAAGGUCAGAUCCAAAUGAAAAUAAAAGUUAGGACUUCACAAAACCAAUUAAAAAUCUAAUUCUAAAGUUAUAAGCACCCACAAAAUGAUUCCAGAUAAAGUUUUACACUCAAGGUCAAACCCAAAUGAAAUUAAAAGUUAGGACUUCACAAAACCAAUUGAAAAUCUGAUUCCAAAGUUCCAAACACCCACCAAAUGAUUCCAGAUAAAGUUUAAACUCAAAAACCCAAUAGAAACAAAAGCACUGGUAUAAAUUAACUGUAUCUAAUUGAAGAAACUAAAACAAAAGUAAAGCAAAGUAUAUACCUCAAAAUGUCAAGCAACUAAGUUCUUCCUCCGACGACCCAAAACUCUGAAAAUUCCACACAAAAAAAAAGGCAAAUCCAUUAGCAAUUCAUAGCUUUCAAAAUUAGCAAAAACUUGGGCAACAAUAAAGAUGUGUCUAGAACCAUCAAUCUUUCUCCUUAUGCAUUUGAAAAGAUAUGUUAUAAGCAGUUUAUGUAGUCAUUCUGAACAUGUUGCAUAUAAAUUCCUUUUCUACAGGGUUCAAAAAAAUAUGGCAGUUUAUGGAAUCUGUUGAAUGACAUAGUUGAAAGAUUUAAAAUUGAUACAUUCAAUUUUUAUGUGUAAAACUAUAACAUAUAGCUAAAGCUAUUGGGUCCAUAUCAGUCAUGUCGUAAUUGAAUGUUUAUCGAUGUAAAUAGAUGAUUUCAGUCAUGGGAUAACAUGUUUCUUGAUAGUAUACGCUGAAGUUUGGUCUAAGUUGGAUAUAAAUCGACCAAAAUCUUAAUAAGAGACUUUUUUAACUUUUAACCAAAAAAUGAGCACCACAAUACUACACUUAUAAGUUUUAUCAUGCACAAAAUACACAGCACUGAUUGCCACUUUUAGAGCAAGAACAAUACUUUACCAAAAGAAAACAACAAAACACCCAAAACCCAGAAACAUAAACACACUUAGGACUCAAACUCCUCAAAAACAUGAGAAAGAGAGAGAGUGUGUGAGGAGAAAGAAUAAAAAAAAAAAUUAUUUUUCACACAAACUCAAAAUUGCUUAUAAAAUUACAAAUGAAUGCAAAUCCAAAAUUGCCCUAAAUUAAAUCUGAUUAGUUAAAUGUUUGUUGCCCCAGAAAUUUCGUUACACCUCACAAAACUUGCUUUGAAGUUGAUAUUUUGGUCAAUCCAGGGGAAAAGGAGUUAUUGGUUUUGGAGCAGUUGUCAUGGAGAAUACCAUCUCCCUGUAGAAUGAUCUAAAAAAGGACUUACAGCUUAUGGUGGCCAUAAUAAUUUAGGAGGCCCUUCUCUCCAAAUUUUCUCAAUAACUUUCCUUUUCGUAGCUGGUAAGAUUGCAACUCCGAGAAUUGCUUUGAAGAGAUAUACACAAACAAAAUACCAAAACUAAGCUAUUGGAAGAAAUUUAGAAAACACAAGCACCAUUACAACUCAGAGUUAAAAGUCAACAGAAACCAAAUGGUACAAGUUGAAAAAAUAUAUGGUCAUGAAUCGAGAACUUCAUCAAACUAACAGCAAUAAAAUCUCAUAUAAUCCGUCAAAAACCAAAAAAGAGAUUCAAGACCUUGUAACGUCGAGGCCUCGUACAGUUGUAGUAAUAAUUUAUGGUUGAUGCACCUGUUGCUCAAUCAAAUCCUUCGUCUGGCUAAAAAAAUAAAAAUCUAUAAAUACAUUCACGUCCAAUUUAUGAGAAAUCAUGGGAAAGAAAAUGUGAAUAUGAAGAACUUAACAAAAAGAAAAAGAAAACUUCUUAUAGUGUGCUAAGAACAUCCUCCUACUCCUAGCAAAUUUUUUAUGGCAUUAUCCACUUCUCAAUUCAUAAUUCAACCAGUAACUCAAAGUCUAUAGUGUAUGAAAAAGUGAUAUCUUAGUUGAUCACGAUGAUAAUCAAAAAGGAAGAAACAACCAAACAAAAUUAUUAGGUCUGGGAUAUACCUUUAUCUGAAACACCACAAUCAUCAAAGUGAAACACAAACAAUCCAAAAAUUUGUGGAAAAUACCAAUAAAUGCUCAACUAAAAACGAAAGAAAAAGUAGAAUAAGUUUACCUGUUCCUCCCCUAAUUAAACUGCAAUACAAUUCACCACUGAUAUUCUCGUCAUCCUCUUCAGCCUGAAAAAUUUAGUAGAAAAUAAUGGUAAGAAUCUAGCAGUAUUUCCAUUGUUCAAAACCCAAAUUCCAGAAAUCAUGAAAAAUGGAAACUUUAUAUGGAAAUUGAACCCCCAAAAUCACAAAAAGGAAAAUUGAACAGAAAAUAAAUUUGCAAAUCCAAAAUCACAAAAACGAAAUUGAAACACCCACACUGAGAAAGCUGUAAAACUCACAAGGAAACGCUAGCUUUUCUGGGUAAAAAAAAUUGUUCGAAUCGAAUUGAAGAACCGAGGAAAAUUCUACAGGUUCAGUGGUUUUUCCAGCAAGAAAGCACCUUGUUUGUAAGUCGUGAGAGGUUGGAGAGCGAGAGAAGCCGAUUUGGGAACCAAAGAAAGCGAGGUUGGAGACCGAAAGAGGCUGCGAAUUGCGAGAGAGAAAAACGAAAAGGAAAGGAAAAGCGGAGAAGAAGUCACGAUUAUCGACGCGUGGGUAGGAUUCCACUGUGAGAGGAUUGCAUUCUUUUAAGAGUGUUUCCUUAUUACAAUUUUAUGCUACUAGAUCCAUCCUAUUGUUCCAUUUCUAAACUUUAUAUUAUAAUAUCACCCAUCGUAAAAAAUUAAAAUCCUAUUAAUCCACCCCAAUUAUUUCUAAAAUAACCUCAAAUAUCUAAAUCCAUUUUUAUUUCACCCCAAUUGCAUGAUCAGGCCUCGAUUUGAAGCUAGUUGACGUUGGCCCAAAUGCCAAAUUGUUUGAAUUUCCAAUAAACAUAUUAUAAUUAUAAAAGGAUGGUGAAGAUAUGAAUCAAAUUUGAAAGAGAGAACAUUACUUGGUGAAGGAGGUGAUAGGUGAUGUUGGUAUGGGUUAUGCAGUCACCAUUGGACAUGAGAGGCUUUCUCCUCAAAAUUCCUUCUACAUCUACAGCAUGCAAAUCGAAUGAUGAUAGGUUUAUCGAAGCCCUAAUACCAACUUUAUGACAAAUCUGAACGGACCAAUAAACAACCAUGGAACGAUCUUGAGACGCGACCACUGCGCGUGAGACUCAACCAGGAAUAACUAGACCAUCAGCCGCCGUCGUCAAUAUUGUAGAGGUAGAUGGUGGGUCCGAGAACUCGAUUUUCUUGGAGCAGUUUGAGAUUGACGAAGGGACCUGACGAGGGGUUGGGGUUGUUGGUGACCGAGAGUAUAUGGGUUUGACGAUGGUGGUGGUGGUGGUGGUGGUUUGCAAUCUCUCUCUUUCCUUUUCUUGGGGUUGGACAUUCGGGUGACAGCCGCCUUGGGAUCGGAUGUCAAUGGGGACGUGCUUGAGAGCCAUGAUGACGACGCGAGCGUGGGUGGGGAGAAUUUUCCAGGUCCUUUGAUGUAAUUUUACAAAAGGGUAAAAAUGGAAGUAAAAAAAUUAUAAACUAGUGGGGUGGGAAGAUAAGACAACGGGGUUGUUGUGGUCUAUUUUUAUCUGAUAAAGCAAUAGGGCCGGCGGCAGGGGGAGAGAGAAAAGAGAGAUGUGUGUUUGUAGAAUUGUAGGGGAAUGUGUGUUGUUAUCUCUCAUACAUUGUGCCUUUAUUUAUAGUAGUAAAAGGAGAGAAGAUAUUCCUUCUUCUCCAAGUAAUAUAAGUUGUAAUAGGAAAGAAUAACUAGAAUCAAAUCUAAUAUAGGAUUUACACAAUUUACAAGUUGUUAUCCCUCCUACAUUGUGCCUUCUUCUUCAUAAGAGUUUGAAAGAAGUAUGAAAUAUUGACUUGUUGAUGAUGAAGUUGAUAGUGAAAUGUAGUAACGGUUAAUUUAACAGAAUUUUUAACGGAUGUAUGAAAUUAAAAAAUAAUAUAAGUAAAUGUAUGAAAUUAAAAUGUUUUAAAGAAAUUGUAUGAAGUUGCAAUUGACCCCAAAUACGAGAGAUAAAACAUAAUUUACACAAAAAACAAAGAUCAGAUUUGUAAAAAUGCACCACAUAGUAGUUAAAACAUCCGGACGUAAAUGAAUGGUUUGAGAUACCAUCAUAGUAGCAUCUUUCAGUGUAAGUUUUUCUCAUAUCGGAUCACUUACCAGUAGAAAAGUGUAAUACCGUGUCGGGAAAGGAAGUCAAUGAUGAAAAGAGAGCAAUUUAGCUUUAAAAAUAAGGAAAACUAAUGAAAAGAGUUUGAAAACUUUGCGUUUAAUGAUAAGGACAAAAUAAAAGGAUAAAGUGAAUAGUACUAUGAUUGAUUUUUUAGUGUAAAAAUAUGGUUUUUCGUUAAAGUUUCCUUAAAAAUAUUGCGUCCUCCGUAUGAUGUUUGCAACAUGUGUCGCCAGAGUAUCAACUUGAAGCUCUCCACAUCUCCGUCGUCAAAUGUUUUGUAAGCAGCAUUGUUUAAGUUCUCUCUGUCAGGGAAACUGCAGAUGGGUUUGAUGAAGAAGAAUGGAAAAUAUAAUUUUUAGAAAAUGAGAAAGAAAAUUAUAAAACUUCAUUAAUGAAAUUUCUUUAUCAACAAAAAAAGAUGAAAAUAUAUCUUUGUCUUCUAUCACAACAAAAAAGUUAAGGACAGUAACGUAAUUUUACAAGAUAAAAUUUUACUUUUUUUUUAAAUCUCACAUAUAUGUAAGUUUAUCAUCUUUAAUUUAAAAAAUAUAAAAAAACCUCUCUUCCACGUUCUCUCUCACUCUCUUCCUCUCCUUCAAAUUUAACAACCAAAGUAAAAAAAUUCAUACGCUUUGUGUGUGGACAUAUACUAGUUGAAAUUUAAAAAAGGAGACUUAAAAAGAGAGAUUUAAUAUUUUCUAGGUUGUCUUGGGAGUUGGCAAUGACAGUAAGAGAGGAGAAUCUCGGGUUCCACUGGAAAGGAGGAAAUUUUUCAAAGCGAGAAGGUAGGGGUUUUUUCACUUGCUCUCUUGGUCUUUGGGCUUUUGGAUUGGAUUGGGACAAUUCCAAUUACCCCAUCCCAACUUACGACUUUUUAUCGGUCUAUAUUGGCUAAAGUGAACGUACUAAAAUAGAAAUUUGAGAACUUGAAUUAAGGUCUUGAAUUAGCGAAUGAAUGUCCAGUAAGAAUGUCAUGUAGUCGGACUUGUAAGGCUACCCUUAAUAAGUAGUCACGUUUGUCAAAACUGGUCUAUCUGAUUAUAAUUGUAACCAUAUUAUGUGUGACACAUGAUCAAACUUGAAGGGUUGUCCAAUAAGAAGUUGUCAUGUUGUCAAGCGUAGGGCCAAAGGUGAGCACUUUCCUACCAAAGUGUUUUCUUUUUCCCCUUUUCAAGGGAUUUGUGUCACCAUUAGAUAGGAGAUUCAAACACAAGACCUUGAAUUUAGAGGCAAACGCUUUAAAAAAGCUUCUCUGAUUCAUCUCCUCUGACUUUGACGGGUUCCACUUCGGAUUCUGCAUUGACAGGAAACCGAAGCCAAAGAUAAAGAUCCGUUCUGAUAUACAGAAAGUAAGAUGAUUAUCAACUGUAGGUCUAGUAGAGGCUGUAAUUGUUCUGUCACUUUAUAGUAAGGAAUCUUGAGCAUAAUUAACGAACCUGAUCCUUGUCCACCAAAACUGCCGUACACCUUCAGCAAAAUCAUUCCGCAAAUACAAUCUUAUAGCAAUGCGAUAUUCAGUUUCAUCACACCAGUUAGUAUUGGUCAAGUAAAGCACAUGUUACUUUCUGAAAAUUUGAAAUACUACAACGCAAAACCUAUCAAAAAGAUGCAACCAUGUGAUGCAAGAAACGAAAAGGUAGAAAGUCCAGACUCACUGUGGAUAAUUGAUUGUCAUUUUUCCCAAGCGCAGAUGCAAUUUUAGCGAAUUAAUUUUGUCCCAAAGAAAGUGAGAACGGAGCUCCCUUUCCAAGACAUUAAAGAGCUUCAUUAGCCCACUCACCACUGCAAUAGAAACAAUUUGAUACAAAAUACUUGACAGCAACCAUACAAGCCGCUCAAUAGACAAAUGACAUUGACAAACAUACCAGUAGCAUCUGAACCUGCUGCUGCUUUUUAAGUUCAUCAAUUGUCUCAAGAACCGACUUAUUUGCACCAAACGCUGAAGUUAUUUGAUGUAAAAGACUUGAGUUGCGCUUCAGAAUCUGGGUUGCUGGUGAAUUUCGCCGCAGUUGUUUCAAUGUCCCCAUGGGGAUCCUAAGAACCGUAUCAACAAUGGAGUAUCUUUUAUCUCAAGAACGCAUUGGACAAUGGAGCAUCAGAAAUUGCGUCUGAGGAUAGAAAAGGCAUACCUGCAGAUCCUCCUCCCGUACUCCUUGCCGCUACAUGUGAAAACCCAUCUGGCAUAGCAAGAACAGUCCUCUGAAAUGUAUCCAUACAAAGUUAGACGCACAAAAUUUGAAAAGCCAUUGCAAUGUAAUUGACAACAUUGACAAUCUCUGUCUGACAGGGCAAAAUACCUUUGUAAUGAUCCGGUAGUGACCGUGACCUGAUAGGUCAACACCAAAGACCAUUGUUAUGCGAUCAAUGAAGCUUAUAAAGGGCUUCUUGUACUCAGAGAUUUUGCAUAUUAGAGAAUACUCAGCAGUGGAUACCUGAACGCAGCACAAAUAUCAUAUCGUUAGCCUCUCAAUAUUAAGAAAACUACAAAUGGUAGCUUAGAAAAGAAAUGAAUCCUCUCCAACCAAAUACAAAUCAUAUUACCCCAAGUUCAAGCAAAAUCAAGACUAAACAAAUGAUUAGAUGUUGUAGGUUGCCCGAGAAUGUCAACCAUGAAAUUACAAAAGAAAAAAAUAACUGUAUGUAUUGAACAUUAAUAAAUACAUGCUGAAAGCACAAUCUCAGCCGCAAUUUAUGACAUUUAUACGAGAUUGAAUCGCUAAAGCAAUUGAAGAAAUUGCAGAGCUCAUAUAAGUGAUUUUCACUUUGAAUUUUUAGGCUUAUCAACAAAUACAUCAUUACGAUUCUAAUGCAUGAAUUUUGUUAAAAGGGGCUUGCUUGCUUGUAUUAAGGCUUAAUCAUCAAUGAAUUUGCAAGAAGCAAUCGAUUUGCUAGUUGUAAAUCUAUUCACUAAUUACCAAAAUUACAUCUAAACGGUAGUGAAGGAAGUCAUCUUAUAUUAUCUGGAUUUUAGAAAACUGUGUAAGGUUAUAAGUCUGUUAUUAUAUAUAGUUAAAAGGGACACAAUUAGACCUCAAUCAUAUUUGGUGGUUGGUUUUUGGCCAUGAUCUGCUUCACAUCACCCCCUGCAAACAAAAAUGAACACUAAGAGAAACAAUAAACAAAUGACAUGAAACAACACGAACAUCAAAGACCAACAAUCUAUCACGUAAGUACCUAAACAAGAAACAACUUUAGUUCAAAGCAAAGCGUAAUGUAGAAACCUUCGGCACAAGAGGUGUGUUUUUGUCCUUUUGAAUUUCGGCAACAACCAUUUUAAUGUCCUUUCCUGCAAUUACCAUGAUUGGUCACUCUCAAAACCUUACCUAAGAGACCCAAAAACAAAAAUAACCGCCGAAAAAUUUAUUUAACUACAUGCUAAAAUGGAAGUGUAAUAUUGCCAAGAAAGAUAAGAAACUAUUCAAAUACAGAUUCUGGGCUUACCGCACAAAAGGCACGAGCCUAGCGGCUACCAAAAAGAACACACUUCACAUUUGGGUGAGAUUCCCAUUCAUCCAGAUAGCUCUUGUAUUUCACAUCCAUAUCUGCAUUUUCCAACAAUUCCCACUUAAACAGAAAUACAAAAUUCUUUGAAAAAAAGCUAACUUCUUCGAAAUGCGAAUCCAACGUUUCGUCUUAUAACAAAUGCAAUAACAUAGAUUUGUAAUCAAUACGAUGCCAUAAAGUUCAAGCUCCAAAAUUCAAAUCAGCUCCAAAUCAAAAGCAUUUACAGAUAUAUACAUAUAUACAUGUGUGUGUGUGUGUGUGUGUGUGUUUAUCUACAUACCUAGGUUCAUGGCGUUGAGAGCUUGGGGGCCGACCGAGGGUGAUGACGGCGACGCCAUUUGGGUGGACGCUGCCCUUGACGAACGCGUCGGCGGAGGCCAUGAUCCCGAAGGGGCGGAGGAGGCGAGGGGAUUUGGAUGGUUGGAAAAGAGAAAGCUUCGAAUUUGGAUUGAGGAAGAAGAAAGCGGACGACGAUUUGCUCAGAAUUUAGGUCGCUCCUCCCAAUAAGCUUCCCAUUACUUCCGGUCGGGAGUGACUGCAUCAGUGUAGAGAGAUAAAGAUAUUUUUGGUGCUUCUGGGCCGGACUACCCUUGAUGUUUCGGUUAAAUAACCGGGAAAAACAACUGCCGCAGGGAAAUUUGAAAGAGGCGUUUGACGAACUGAUUGUGAUCUGACUCAAACAUGUGAUGAUGACGAUGCAUCACCACCUUGAUUGUGUCUCUGGAUGAAAAACCUACCAUCAAGAUCAAAAUCGUGCAUAUUUUCCUUCAUAGGUUUGUCCCAUACUAGAUUAACCCCUAUUCCCUUAGCUUUCGCAUAAUUAAAUGCAUUAGUUUUCGCAUAAUUAAAUGCACCGCCUUUCAUUGGUAUUUCAAAAGUUAUAUCAACUUUAUCCCCGCUUUGCAAAUUGAGCUUAUCGUUUGAUAUUUGACCUUGCCAAAGAUAACAGCUUUCAAAUACAAUAUCGCGCAUUUUUGUAACCCAAUCUUCCUUGCCUAUGCAAGUCUGUAACUCAGUACGCUUGGUAUUAUUUAUAUCAAUACUAGCACGAGGAUGACCAUCUUUACCUCUCAUAUAAGGUCUUGGCCGAUCAAGAUAAGAGCGGUAAAAGCAUAACAGAGUUAGCCCUUCAAAACUACGACCAUCACCCGGGGGAAUAUCAAAGCUAACUUCAUUACCAUCAUUGACAAACUCGAACCAAUCAGGAACAUAAUUCCCAUUGAGAAAAAUGCCACCAUAUCCGCAAGAAGUCCAUCCCUAUAUAUAUAUUGCAAGUGUCAUAACUAUAUACAUACAUGUACAUGUGUGUUGUGUGUGUGCAUGUGCGCAAUAGGAAGACAAUUAAAGAGAGAGAGAUACCUUUAGGACGUUCCUCCUUAAAUCAGCCGUGAGUUUGGUGCACUUACUCAUAUCAAUCCAUGUCAUGGAGUUUAAUGACUUAUCCAAGUCUGGAACCUCAGUGAGUUCGUGUGAAUCACAUACAUUCAGUUCCCUCAUAUUUGACAUUUUCGAAAAAUUGGGCAUUGUUACCAAACGAUAGCAACUAGAUGCAUCCAGAAAUUUCAAAUUUGUUGGUAAAUCAUAGAUUGUAUGAAGCUGGGAGCAAUAACUUAACCACAAACUUUCAAGUUUUGAAAGACCACUGAGGCUGGGUAGGGUAUGAAAAUAAUUGACUGAGAGAUCUAAAUUUCUUAAAGAGUCUAAGCCGUGUAACGAAUCGGGAAAUUGCAAAGGAAACUUCGAUCCCACAAAAUUAUUGAGAGAUAAAUGAGUGAGAUUCUUCAAUCUUACUGUGGAACGCGGUACUUGUCUUAUGGCUGUAGUAGAUGCUUUAAGUACUCUCAAUGAUAUCAUCUUCCCUAAACCCUCGGGCAAUUCACUGAAUUGCCAACAAAAAUCAAGAACAAGAGUCUGAACGGAUUUGGACCUGUAGAAAUCCCCAGGAAGAGAAAUAAGAUUCUUGCAGCGUGUGAGGUUCACCAAAGAAAGUUUUUUAAGAUGACCAAUGGAGGGGUGAAUAUCGGACAAACUCCUACACCUUUCCAAUAUCAACUCUUCAAGAUUUGGGAGAUUUGAAAAGUCUGGUGAUUUUUUUAAGUCAGAGCAACUUCCAAGAUUAAGGACCUUCAAGUUUUCAAGUGACUGUUGCACAAAAUCAAAGAAAAAUUAAAAUUAAUAUCCAAAAGGACUAUCUCAGAAAAAAAGAAGGAAAUCCAAAAAACAAAUACAAACAUAACAUCAUCAUGUGUAAUCGAUUGUACCUUGGAGCCCUCCCAAACUUGUACCAGGUCGCUAGAUGUUAUCUCUAAAAUAACUAGUCUUGGUUGAUCAAAGAAGUCAUCUGGUAUGGACUUUAAAGGGCAUCUUUCCCAACACAACCAUAUUAACUCCUUGGGGAGAUGUUUGUAUUCUCCAUUGAGCUGCACGUUGUAGAGCUUGAGCAGUCUCAGUUUCUUCAUAUUGGCAAAUGCUUCUGUACUGAACCCAGGCAUGUUAGACCUUGGAGGCCAAGGAGGAGGGAUACCUAGAGCAAGUCCUUCAACUUCUUCAGUUCCCUGUUAACAAAAGGUUAUAUUCAUGUGUAAGAAACGGAUUAUUUGCAUACGUUUACAUGUAUGAAUACAAGCAAGUACUAUUGUUGGCUAAUUGAGAUGAAUGUUAAUGUAUAAUACACAUCCGUGAGUUAUAUGUGCUUUUCAUGUACAAUGCAUUAAUUCAGAAUUUUAUUGGGAAUGUACUUACAGAUUUAUCUCUCAAUACUUUAAUGACCUCUUGCCGGUUCCACAACCUACUCCACUCUCCAGGCUGACGAGGGGAUUUUUCAGAAAUGAUUAAUUUGGCCAUUUCUCGAAGCAAAUCAUGCAUAUUCAACACGUUGUCUUCAACAGUUAUAAGGCAUCGUUCACGGAGGUCACUGAUUCCUAUUGUUGCAAAAAAGUUACAUCCAUCUAAUAUUUUUGCGACAUAGUCCUUAUCCCAUCCAAUAAAGAAACAAGAAAUGUCAAGGAAUAUAUCCUUUUGUGUAGGAUCUAGCCUUUCAAAGCUUACUCUUAGCGGUUUCAUUAUUCCUUUAUCAGGAAAUUUUUUCAAUUUCUCCAACUGACUUUUCCACUCUAUUGGGGUUCUUUCAAUCAUAGAAGAACCUAAAACUUCAAGGGCUAUUGGCAAACCACCACAGUAAGAAACAACCUCUUUUGAGAGUUCAAGAUAUCCUUCAUUAGGCCAACUCUUUCCAAAGGCAUGCCAACUAAAGAGCUUCAGAGCUUCUUCUUCAUUCAUUUCCUUAAGCGGAUAUGUCUUGUCCACUUUCAUGUUCACUUGCUUUAGUAAACAUUCAUCUCGUGUCGUUAUGAUAAUUCUACUUCCUGGACCAAACCAAUCACGAUUUCCAGCUAUGGCAUUUAGUUGUUCCACUUUGUCUACAUUGUCAAUAAUGACAAGUACGCUUCUACGUUGGAGAUGAUUUUUUAGCAAACUGAUACCUCCAUCAACACUGGUUAUCUUAGACUCAGUCUGUUUCAAGAUGUCAGAAACAAGCUUUCCUUGCAAAUCAACCAAAUCAUAUUCACUAACGUUGGCAAGGAAACUUUUGAAUUGGAACUUAUGAUGAAUUUGGUUAUAAAUGGCUUUGGCAGCUGUUGUUUUACCUAAUCCACCCAUCCCCCAAAUUCCAACCAUGACAACGUCAUUUGAUCCACCACCUGAAAGAUGAUUGAUAAUAUCUUGAACGCGAGAAUUGAUUCCAACCGGGUGCUUGGCCACAUUUAAUUCGUUUGCACCCGGAAGCCAUUCCGUAAUGAUCUUGCCAACAAUUUCUCUAAUAAGCUUUGCUUCGCGCCUAGAUGUUGAAUUUGUAAGCAUUAGCGGGACUCAAUGAACAGUAGGAGCUAUUAGUACAUAGACAAUUUUCUUUCCUUCAUACAUAUUCUAACUAGCUACUAGCUAGCAUGUGAUUUUUUUACCAACUUGAUAAAAGAAAGAAAUUCAUUCAUUAAUUAAACUCCAAUUACGGUUUAGGUUUUAUAUGAGAGGUUAAGGUGUAUUAAUUAAGCAUGUUAAUUAUAUGAGAGAUUAAGUCAUUCACUAAAAUGUGUCAAAUCUUUAAAAGCAGGUGAAUGAUUACCCAUUGUCAAUGAUUUGAAGAUGUUGGCCAGACAAAUUUGCAGCUUCUGUAAGAGCCUUUCUCCAUUGCUUUACCCUUUCUUGUUUAGCUUCACGUUCCUUGUCAUCUUUUUCUUCACGAAUGCCCUCUUCGUGCUUCUGAAAUGCUUGAGCUAAAUCUCCGUUCUGCUUCCUAACAUGUGAAGGAUCAACAUGAUAGAAUAUUGGCAAAACACGUCGCCCCAGUUUGUAUCUGCACUUCAUGAUCUUCACCAGCUCGUCAAGACACCAACUCGAGUUCGCAUAACUCUUUGAGAAGACAAUGAUAGAGAUCCUCGCCUCUUCAAUUGCCCGGAACAGUUCCUCUUUUAUUUCUUCCCCUCUUUCUAGAUCGUCCUCAUCGAUAUAAGCCUGGUAUCCCCUCUCUGUUAAUGCCGCAUGGAGGUGGCCCGUGAAGCCAUUGCGUGUGUCCACACCGCUGAAGCUCAAGAACACGUCGUAAUUCCAAAGUUUUGACUUGGAGGAGGAUGACGAGGAGGCUUCGUGGGUUGUCAUGGGGGUAUCCACCGUUAUGGCACUGCAGUGGUUCAGAUCACGACUGAAUUAAGGAAUGCACAACUUUACUUUUAUGAUUAUUUUCAAUGACAGCUAAAGGUCAGAUCCAAAUGAAAAUAAAAGUUAGGACUUCACAAAACCAAUAAAAAAAUAUAAUUCCCAAGUUACAAAUACCCACCAAAUGAUUCCAGAUAAAGUUUUAAACUCAAGGUCCGGCCCAAAUGAAAUUAAAAGUUAGGACUUCACAAAACCAAUUGAAACAGAAACCAAAUGGUAGAAGUUGAAAAAAAUAUAUGGUCAUGAAUCGAGAACUUCAUCAAACUAAUAGCAAUAAAAUCUCAUAUAAUAUGUCAAAAACCAAAAAAGAGAAAGAGGUAAUUUCAAGACCUUGUAACGCCGAGGCCUCGUACAGUUGUAGUAAUAAUAUAUGGUUGAUGCACCUGUUGCUCAAUCAAAUCCUUUGUCUGGCUAAAAAAAUAAAAUCUAUAAAUACAUUCACGUCCAAUUUAUGAGAAAUCAUGGGAAAGCAAAUGCACUGAGAACGGAAUCAUGAAUAUGUAGAACUUGCCAAAAAGAAAAAGAAAACUUUUUAUAGUGUGCCAAGAACAUCCUCCUACUCCUAGCAAUUUUUUAUGGCAUUAUCCACUUUUCAAUUCAUAAUUCAACCAGCAACUCAAAGUCUAUAGUGUAUGAAAAGGUGAUAUCUUAGUUGAUCACGAUGAUAAUUAAGUAGAUUAAAUGACGACCCAUAAAGCAUACAAAUUCAGAAAAGAAAAGGUACGAAACUGCCAUAAGAAAACGCAGAAUAUAUAAACCGGAAAUCAAAAGAAGAGAAGCGAAAAAGGAAGAAAAAAAAAACCAAACAAAAUUAUUAGGUUUGGGAUAUACCUUUAUCUGAAACGCCACAAUCAUCAAAGUCAAACAUAAACAAUCCAAAAAUUUGUGGAAAAUACCAGUAAAUGCUCAACUAAAAACGAAAGAAAAUGUAGAAUAAGUUUACCUGUUCUCCCCCUAAUUAAACUGGAAUAACAUUCACCACUAAUAUUCUCGUCGUCAUCCUCUUCAGCCUGAAAAAUUUAGUAGAAAUACUCAAUGAAGACGCUUAAUGUAGACAGUAAUAUUAGCAAUGGAGGAAUUGAAUUGAUAACCAAAACUGCAAGACCAAAUGACUAUUUAGGUUCAAAACAGAAACUCGUCUGCUAGAUGUCUCAUCUUUAGGCAGUGCCUUGUUCUUGUUUUUUUUUCUUUUUUUUUUGUUGUUGCAUGUCUUGUGAAGUUCAUGUAAAUCAACAAAAUUGAUACUUUUGACACAACCAACAAUGGAGAGGUAAAAAGUUAAAAACAUUAGGAAUGUCUUCAUUUUUGUAAUGGAUUUUGCAAGUCAGAAAUUCUGUUCGAGAAUUUGCAACCCAGAAAGUCCGCCAGAAAUUAUUAACAAUCACAGAUAAGCACCGAAUGAAGGCCAAUCUAAUAAGCCAAAAUAUGUAGGGCACUAAAGAAAUUACCCAGUAACAAUAAUAGAUAAGCACAUAUGAAACUAAAGAAAUUUUUCAUUACUAUCAACUCCCAAAAAAAAAAAAAAAAAAAACUGUGCAAUCCAAAAAAUGUUGAUACAUAGUUGGAGUAUCAAUGCCUGAAAUUGGUAUUUGAACCACGAAUAUGUUUGUUAGCUUAAAGGUUUGGGUUGAAGUUGUGAAAGGAAAUGUAAUUUCUUAAAAGAAGGAGAGAAUGCAAAGAUGAAUACAGAAUGGUUCAUGUGGCCACCUUGUUAAGGCACAGAAAAAGACAUCAAAUUUUAUACUUGUUGCAUCCAAGGUAUGCAACAGCCUCCCACAGAAAUUACAGAAAUCAAAUCAAGAAAAAAGAUAAUUACACAAUAAUUACACCUUCACUAAGAAAAUAAAUUAUAAAAACGAAGACCGUGAGAAUAAUUACCUUACCUUUGUACGGUGAUUGGCUGCCAAAAAAAAAAAUAAUGUCAUAUACAUUAAGCCUGCCAAUUACUAAAAACAAAACAUUUUGCCAUGAGGAGAAGUAAGAACAUACCGAAACUUGUUUGCAAAUAGAUGAGAAAAACUUAUUCCUGAAACAGAUGGAAAAUUUAUUAGGAAAGAUAAAUCAGCCCACAUGUGUGUAAUCUAUAUACAAAAAACCACUCUCUUCAAUAGCCAAAUCGUUUCACAAAUCCAAAAACACAUAAUUAUAUCUUGAACAAUGCCAAUUAAUGAUUUCCCAUUUACUUAAGCCAACAACAAAGCCAAUGAACUGAUGAAAGAGCAAAACAGAGAAACAAAAAACCUCAAUUAAGUAAUUAAAUGGAGUAUUACUUGAUAGAGCUGGAAAAUUACCCAGUUCCUCAGAGAGAGGAUCAAGAGUGACUGAUGAGAGUGCAGAGAAAAGAAUGAUUGAGAAAUUCAAGUUCUGAGCUCGAAGUUGGGGCUUCCACUUUCCAACUGGGGAAGAAAUAACAGAGAAAACACAGAGAGCCAAUCCACCAAAUAUUAAUCAAAUGGGUUUCUUCUAAUUCAAAAUUUGGACCACCCAAAUUCCAAUGAAGCAAUAACCAUUCAAAAUCCAACAGAUUGAAGCCCUCACAGACUACUAAUUAUCAAUACCCAGCAAUAAAAAAUUUGAAAACAGUAAUAAUGAAGGAAAAAGAAAUUAAAGCUGCAAGCCAUUCUCUAAAUCUCAGGCACCAAUCCAAAUCACCAGUAAUUUGCACAUAAUGAUAAGAAUCUAGCAGUAUUUCCAUUGUUUAAAAACCCAAAUUCAAGAAAUCAUGAAAAAUGGAAACUUUAUUUGGAAAUUGAAGCUUUACCUGCAGAUCAGCAGCAGCAAACGGAAUCCAACGGCAUGUACCUCAAAAGUGAGAGAGAGAGAGUUGAGAGAUGAGUGAGAGAAUCGAUAAACAAAACCCCCCAAAAUCACAAAAGGAAAAUUGAACAGAAAACAAAUUUGCAAAUCCAAAAUCACAAGAACGAAAUUGAAACACCCACACUGAGAAAGCUGCAAUACUCACCAGGAAGCUAGCUUUUCUGGGUAAAAAAAUUGUUCGAAUCGAAUUGAAGAACCGAGGAAAAUUCUACUGGUUCAGUGGUUUUUCCAGCAAGAAAGCACCUUGUUUGUAAUUCGUGAGAGGUUGGACAGCGAGAGAGAAAAACGUAAAGGAAAGGAAAAGCGGAGAAGAAGUCACGAUUAUCGACGCGUGGGUUGCAUUCCACUGUGCCAAGUUCGAAAAUGAACGGGGAAUGGGGAGCUUGGCCGAGGGAGACAGAAUUCGAGAAGCAGCGUUCUGAUUAAUUUUUUUUUUUUUUUUUUUAUGAGAGAGGGAAAGCGGAAUGAAGAGAAUCGAGAAGAGGAUGAACCAUUUCAAUUUUUAAGCGAUGAUCGACGCGUGGGACUUGAGGGCAAAUUUGCCAUUUUGCUGUGAACCCAUGAAGCAUCAGAAUACACAAAAGUCAAGACUUGGCUUGGUUUAUAUAAUUAAUCAAUAAUAUUCCUAACAAGAGCUAGGUCCAUAUAUUAUACGAACAAUACUUAGCUGCUGAAUUCCUACUUUCAACCAAUCAAAUUUUGACACGUGUCCAAAUAAUGAAAUUAUAAAUACAAAUUGAACACGUGUCCAAAUAUGAUUGGGUGAAAAUAGGAAUGGCUGUUGAAUUUUCAGCCGCCAAGUAUUGUUCUUAUACAAGGUUCUAAAUCUAAUAGAUGUUGUGGCUAGACGAGGCUUAUUGACUAGACGGAUUUAAGUAAAUUUAUUCUAUAUUAUAAAUAAAUGUUUUUUUAUACUUAAAAUGACACAUAAUUGUAUUGAGAUAUAUAAAUUGUAAAAUAAAAUAACAUAUAUAUUAUAAAGUAUUGGAACAUGAGAGAAAAGACCUAAAUGUGAAACGACAACUAUAAACAAUUAUUCAAGAUGAACGAUAAAUGAUUCAACCAUUUACAAGAUUCAAAACAUGAGAUCACGAUCUACUGAAUGAUUGCAUUAACUAUUAAGCGGUGCCCUAAUAUAAUACAUCCAAAUGGGGGUGGACCACAUAAUACACCCAAUGGAUCGUUUUUAAGCUACUCCACUGCUAAAACUAUUGCAAAAUGCGUUAGGAUUAUACUUCUAUUAGCUGCGCCUUUCCUUACUAGGCAAAUGGGGGUGGACCACAUAAUAAUGUUAAAACUGCUAUGUCUAUUGGGUUUCUCUGUUUAUUUCAUGUACUAGUUUAUGUUCCUUUUAUUGUAUAAAUAACUUGUACUUGGGAUGUUGCAGAACAAGUUUGAUUUGAAUGAAAUUACUACUAUUGAGUUAGCUGUCAAGCUUCUCUUUAUUCCAAGCUUGCAUUUUGUUCUACCUUUUCCAAUUCUCUACAUCCCUAAGAGGACUGUAUCAGAUGUUAUACACAUUGGAGUUUGAGCAGAAUUCUUUUUGUUAUCUUGUCUCACAUUGCUAGAAUUGAAAAGUUCAUAAUAUAAUAACAUUCGCGUAUGAACUUGAGAAACAACAUACUACUGGUUGGCCUGGAAGGUGCAGUGAAAGAGAGGAAAGGAAGAAAGAAACAAACACGAAAGGACAAGGACUAUCCAAUAGAUUAUAAACAAUGACUUAUUGGGGAUGAUUACGGCUAUUAAAUCAUCAAUAAUGCAUUAUUUUAGUUUGGAAUUUGGAAGCAUUUGAGAAGUAAAAUGACAACAACUACAUAAUAAACAAAGGUGAUUAGAAAAAAGACCCAAAUGUGAAAGAAUAAUUAAAAACAAUUACUCAAGAUUAGUGAUAAAUGAUUCAACCAUUUACAAGAUAUGAACUUAGAACAACAAUCUAUUAGAUUGUUGUAUUAAUGAUUAAGUGAUGCUCUAAGAUAAUAGAUCCAAAUGGGGACGGACCAUAUAAUACACCCAAAUGGAUGCAAUCAUGCCAUAUAUAAACAAUGUUUUGAAAGGACAAGGUAGCUAAAGCUGCCUUUUUAUAUAUGUAAGCAACAACCCUAAAUCUUACUGGAACUAAUUAACUAAUGUAUUUAUUAGACAGUUGGAUUCCUUAGCAAGUGGUUAACUAGUUUUGUUUAGUUUAGUAGUCAGGUCGUAAUUAAUUAGUCAAAUGAAAAUGCAUAUAACACACCCAAAUGGAUGCCAUAUAUGCAUACUAUUUUUGUUUAGUUUAGUAGUCAGGUCGUAAUUAAUUAGUCAAAUGAACCUGCAUAUAACACGCCCAAAUGGAUGCCAUAUAUGCAUAUAUAAACAAUGUUCUCAAAGGAUGAAAUGACUUUCUUGCCGGUAUGGGGGAAGAGGAAAGAAACUAGCACGAAACUGCAGACCCUAUCGAUCCAUUAUAAUAAAUUUCAAUGGUCCAAUUUGUAAGUUAAUUGUGCAACAUAAAAACUUAUUUACAGUUAUCAACUUAACCACGUACCUGUGAAAGACAUUAUCUCAGAAAACUAGGAUUAAGAACCAAAGUUCUCCUGGAACUCUACACAACUUAAGGCUCGCUCAAUGGGGCUUGAGUUUUUUGUAAACUUGCGUAUUUUUGGAAACGCAUCAAAUAGUAGUUAAAACAUCCGGCCGUAAAUAAAGGGUUUGAGAUACCACCAUAGUGAUAUCCCUCAGAUGUGAGUUUCUCACGUAUCAAAUCACUUAUUGUAAGAAUAUUAGUAGUGAAAGUUAAAUACCCGUGUUGGGAAAGGAAGUCGAUGAUGACAAGAGAGAAAUUUGGCUUGAAAAAUGUAUGAUACUUGCAACAUGCGUCACCGGAGUAUCAACUUGAAGCUUUCCAUCUCUCCGUCGUUAAAUGUUUCGUAAGCAGCGUUGUUGAAGUUCUCUAUGUCAAGGGGAAACUGAAGAUGGUUUUAAAUGAAGAAGAAUGGAAAAUAUAAUUUAGAAAAUGAGAAAGAAAAUUAUAAUUGAAACUAAAAAAAUAAGAAAUAAAAAGAGAGAUUUACUAUUUUCUAUGAGGUCUUGGAGUUGGCCGUGACAGUAAGAGAGGAUAAGCGAAUGAAUUGGGCCAAUUACUUGCUCUCUUGGACUUUGGGCUUUUGGAUUGGAUUGGGCCAAUUACUUACUUGGGCCCCAUCCCAACUUAUGACUUUUUGUCGGUCGGUAUUGACUGAGGUGAACGUGCUAAACUAGAAAUUUGAGAUUUUGAAUUAGCAAAUGAAUGUUAAGUAAGAGCGUCAUGAUCAGACUUGUAAGACUGUCUUUGUUGCGUUUUGUCAAAACCGGUCCAUCUAAUUACAAAUUGUAACCAUAUUAGUUGAGUAUAUAUAUGCUACAUCACAUUAGUGAAUAUUCAGUACGGGUGACACAUGGUCAGACUUGUAGGUUGUUCAUUAAGAAGUUACCACGUUCUCAAGAGUGGAGCUAGAGGGGAGCACUUCCCUACCAAAGUGUUUUCCUUCUCCCCUUUACAAGGGAUUUGUGUCACUAUUAGAUAGGAGAUUCGAAUACAAGACCUUGAAUUGAGAGGUCACACUUUUACAAAGCUUCUACGAGCACCUUCUUGUUUACCAAACUCAUUGAGACUAAAGGAGGUCUUAACGCCAUUUUGGCUAAUACUAUUCUAUAUAUUUACGAAUGGUUUUAAGUUUGGGUUUAAUUGGAUAAUCAGAGAGUAGUGCAUCAAACUAUGGAUAUUCAGAAACCGAAAGCAUAAUUCAUAUUCCUCCAACAAGUCCACGCAAAUAACCACAAUCAGAAUGUUAGUUCAUAACUGGCCAUAUAGAACGCAGUACAAAAGCACUAAAAGCGUCCAAGUGAAAGUGCUUUCUCCUCAUGCAGUUUCAUUUAACUUAGUUUCACAUGCCAGUCCGUCACACACUCAACUCCUCAACGUUCGGGUUCAAAGCAUUCUUUAUCCUUUCUGUACGAGAGACAAUAAAUUUAAAGUUCUUGUGAUGAAAUCAUGUAAAACAUUCAGAAAUCUUGAUUUAAUCCUUUCUCAAGAUCAUAGGUUGUGUCAUCUCAACUUAUAUCUUAGGUCUUAUGAGUGCUCGUAAUACACUAAUACGGCACUUGUUUUCUGGCCAGGACAGAAACAAAAUCAUGUAGGAAAUUGUCAUGACAAUAAAGGUCGUACCCAGUGCACAAGGCUCCCGCUUUAAGCAUGACAAUAAAGGAAAUUGUCAUGUAGGAAAUUGUCAUGACAAUGUAAGUGUAAAAUGAGACCGGAAAAACACUAAACAGGAUGACUAUGCUCUCUUAGCGUAAACCUUAACAACAAAGACUAUACCGUAUCUGUCACCAAGGGCGGAGCCACCAUAGGCCUAGGGGGGCGGAUGCCCCCACUGAGAUUUUUCUGAUGCUGGCAUGAUGACCUUCAGAUGCUUGAGAUUCGGCAAUGGUGGAGAGCAGAUCUUUCUAAAUUUCUUUGGAAAGAAGAGAUCCUAAACCAAGCACACAAACAAAAAUUUGAGAACAGCAAAUACAAAAAUUCGACAGUGAUCAAACCCAUCAAGCAUGCAUAUAUAGAUACAUGUUAUAUUUAUAUACCAUAGCAUCAUGAACUUUUAGUGUAAUUUUUCUGAAGCAGUCAAAACUUUCAAGAUAAUCUCGUGCUGCUCAAAUUGAUAUGGUUCUACAGCAGCAAAGCCCACACUGCGAUUUUUCUGGUUCUACUCUCCGAUCUGGUUCUGUAGAAGCAGAGCUGGGUCUUAUUUUAUUUUUUUUCAAAACCAAGCCAAAACGACAUCGUUUUGGUCCUGGUAAAAAAAAAUUUAAAAAAUGUAAACGAAACGGUGUCGUUUCGUAUAUGUUUGAAAAAAUAUGUUCGAGGAUGCCCCCAUUCACCCAAAUGUCUGGCUUCGUCCCUGUCUGUCACAGUGAUAUGCGACCAUAAGCCCAACUCCAAGGAUCAGCUUUCCAAGAACUUUGAAGGCUACAAAUCAAAAGUUACAUGCAGUGAUGACAUAAUCAUGAAAAAAUACAAUCAUAAAUUAAAGGAAAACAUACCGACUUCUAGUUCUGGCAAUUCACUAUUGGCCCAUAUAUUUGAACCACAAUAUGAUGGAUACCCAAUACAGAUCACAAAUAAAAUCUGAGCAGACACAAAGUAUUAUGUUUUGUUUACGCAAAAUCUGUAAGUUCUCAAGUAGGAUAAAUAAAGAUAAACAUAUCCCAGCAUAAAGACGACUUGUCCUGGCUAAUUCUAAGAAAGCUUGUAUCAAAUGUAUGAUAGUUAUUCAUAACUAACACAAACAACAGUUUGGCCAAACAUUACUGGUCUGAGCCAUAUACUGUGUGACCUCAGACAAAACAGAUCCCACAUGUACUCAGAUUAUGAUUGAUGUCCCAAUAGACUUUUAGGCGGUGCUCUGAUAUAAUACAUCCAAAUUGGGGUGGACCAUAUAAUACACCCCAAUGGAUCGUUUUAAGCUCCUACACUGCUAAAGCUAUUGCAAAAUGCGCAUUAGGAUUAUAUUUCUAUUAGAAGCGCCUUUCCUUACUAGGCAAAUGAACCAUAUAAUACACCAAGAUGGAUGUUAUACACGUUAGCGUUUGGGCAGAAUUUUUUUGGUUAUCUCAUUGUCUCACAUUACUAGAAUUGAAAAGUUUAUAAUAUAAUAACGUUCGAAUAUGAACUUGAGAAACGACAUACUGCCGGUUGGCCGUAAAGGUGCAGUGAAAGAGCGAAAAGGAAGAAAGAAACAAACAUGCAUGAAAGGACAAAGACUAUCCAAUAGAUUAUAAACAAUGACUUCUUGGGAUGAUUACAGCUAUUCAACCAUCAAUAAUGCACUAUUUUAGUUUGGAAUUUGGAAGCAUUUGAGAAGUAACAUGACAUCAAUCACAUAAUAAACAAAAGUGAUUACAAAAAAACCCAAAUGUGAAGGAAUAAUUAAAAAAAAUUAUUCAAGAUAAGCGAUAAAUGAUUCAACUAUUUAUAAGAUAUGAACUUAGAACAACAAUCUAUUGGAUCGUUGUAUUAACUAUUAAGUGGUGCUCUAAUAUAAUAUAUCCAAAUGGAGACGAACCAUAUAAUACACCCAAAUGGACCAUUUUUAGGCUCCACUGCUAAAAACUAAUGCAAAACGGGCAUUAGGAUUAAACUAUAAGAACUAGGAUUGCAGGGAAGACAAAACACGCAGGAAAGCUAUAAGACUACACAAGGUUUUCACUGUGAUUGCAUACCCUCAACGUUGUAGGGAGCAACCUUUUUAUAAUCACUUUUCAGAUUACAUCAGGGUUUCAAAAACCCUAUUAACAAGCUUACAUUUUGAAAUUCAAAUACUAUAACUAAUUCUGACAAAACAAAUAUUUAAAAAUUCAAAUGAUUUUAACAGAAGCUCUACUUGAUAAGUGUUGUUGACUGAGUAAACCAACUGAAGAGUUUCUGUUUGAACAGGAAACUUGACUCCGUCUAACAUAAACUUGUAUUAGCUAGCUUUCCUAGUCAAAUGAACCAUAUGAUACACCCAAAUGGAUGCCAUCAUGCCAUAUAUAACCAAUGUUUUGAAAGGACAAGGUACCUUAACACUGUCUUUUUAUAUAAUGUAAGCAACAACCAUAAAUCUUACACAAAUCCUGGUAAGUCUACCACAAGUGUCAAUCCUUAUCUCCUUAUCAUUCCACAUCACCAAGUGUUUGCUCUCGUAUAGAACUUACAAAAAUCUCAUUUAGUUUCAUCUAACUUAUUUUUCACAACGGUGAAUAUAUUUCAAUGGCUUGGUUUUCACAUGCCAGUCAGUCACAUGCUCAACUCCUCAAAGUUCGGGCUCAAUGGCUCGAAGAGAGCUUCCACUUCACUCUGAUUCACCUCCCUCUUACUUUGACGGGUUCCACUUCGGAUUCUGCAUUGACAAAAAACAGAAGCAAAAGAUUGUUGAGAGUUGUCCCACGUUGGUGAGGGACAAGGCUUGCUAUGUACUUAUAUGAAUUUGGGCUACUUUCAAUAUUGUCAAUUGGUUUUAUGGUGGAACCUCAAUUUCAUCAUGGUAUCAGAGCCAAGUUGUUGACGUGUGAAGCCCAAUGGCCACACGCACUUCACGUCACCUAGCUGUUGUCCACGUGUAGGCUUGAAAAUCCGUCACACGUGCGGGGACGUGUUGAGAGUUAUCCUACAUUGGUGAGGGACAAAGUUUAGCUAUGUGCUUAUAUGAUAUUGGGCAACUUCCCAUAUUACCAAUUGAUUUUAUGAUGAACCUCAAUUUCAUCAAAGAUAACGACCUGUUCUCAUACAAGGAAAGUAAGAUGAUUAUAUAACUGUAGGUCUAGUACAGGCUGUAAUGGUUUAUGUUGCAGCAACUCCGUCAGCAAGUGAUUUUCAAGUAAGGAAUCUUGAGCAUAAUUAACGAACCUGAUCCUUGUCCACCAAAACUGCCCGCACACCUUCAGCAAAAUCAUUCCGCAAAGACGAUCUUCUAGCAACGCGAUAUUCAGUUUUCAUCACACCAGUUAGCUGGUAUGGAUCAAGUAAAGCACAUGUUACUCACUCAGAAAAUGUGAAAUACUACAACACAAAAUCUAUCAAAAGGAUGCAACCUUGAAGAGCUUCAUUUGCCCACUCCACCACUACAACAGAAACAAUUUGAUAGAAAAUACUUGACAGCCACGUACAAGCCUCUCAAUAGAAGAGUAAGACAGAUUUCAUUUCAUCAUCGAUAAACAAAUGGCAUUGACAAACUUACCAGUAGCAUCUGAACUCUGCUGCUGCUUUUUAAGUUCAUCAAUUGUCACAAGAACCGACUUAUUUGCACCAAAUGCUGAAGUUAUUUGAGGUAAAAGACUCCUGAGCUGCGCUUCGAAUCUGGGUUGCUGCUGAAUUUUGCCACAGUUGUAAUUGACAACAUUGACAAUUGUCUCUCUCGCAAUAGUACCUUCGUAAUGAUCCGCUACUGACCUUGGCCCGAUAGGCCAAUACCAAAGGCCAUUGUUAUGGCCACGAAGCUUAUACGUGGCUGUCAAGCCCGACACGUGAAUAGCAUACUCUACUACUGUGUUACAUUGUGAGAAUUUUAUCCAAAAUUAAUUGACAAUAAGUGAAUAAGUUGAAAGAUUAUGUAUGACUUUAAUUAUGCAAAGAGUGAAGAGGCAAUUUUCACCAAACCCCAGUAAAAAAUUUGGGCCUCACAAAUCACUAAACCCAAUAUGCUUUUCUCUUAUGCCUUUCGUUCAUGGUUUGAUAUUCUGGCGUCCGAGGACCCUGACAUGACAAGUUCCAACCUUUUUGUUCAAUUUCUUGACGAAACAAUCACAUUUACCCUUACGGCACGGCACGGUUCCGGGCAUAGAAUAUGGGUUGGGUUCCGCCACAGAUCCAACACUAAUUAGCACUGUAGAGAAGGAAGUAAAGACAACUAUUGAUUUCUUACAACGUAGCGAGUCUCUUGACAUGACUCCUGCUGUUUUGUUCUUAUUUCACGUCCUGUUUCUCGAGCUUGGUGUUUCCGGCAGGGCCGGUCUAAAGAUUUUUGAGGCCCGGAGCGACGUAAAAAAAUAUGCCCUCACUUAUAUAAGAAAAUUAUUUGUUUUCACAUGUAAGACAUCGAUAAAAUUAUACUUACAAAAACACUUAAAACUUAAUAAUUUAGAAACAAGGAAAAACUAAUUUAUUUUGUAUCGUGAGAAUGAUCCAAAAAAACUCUGGGUUUACAAGUAGAUAGAUAUGGGUUUACAAGUUGCGGAUUGCUUUGCUAACUAUGAUGUUGAUCUGGCUGGGGUUCAUUGGUGAGAUUCUUGAUUUCCUUGUGCUACUUUGACAUAUCACCAUAAGUUGUCUUUUUUGCCUUGUUAUAGUUUCGUGUGGGGUUUUUUUUCUUCUUCUAAUGCUGAUUGGGUUCUUUUCUUCCAACUCCUGCCCACUCAUUAUUGUCUGAACCACACCUAGUAUUACCCUCAUAUCCACUAAAACUUCAAGCUUUACCAAUUUGUCACAAGCGAAGAUGGUAGCUCCCAACACCAAUGAGGUUCCAAACAAUUACGAUCGAAAACGCGAAGUGAAAGCUUUUGAUGAGACAAGGGAAGGCGUUAAGGGUCUUGUUGAUGCCGGGGUAGCCGAGGUUCCUAGAAUUUUUCAUCAACCACCACAAUUGGACGAUCAGUACUCCAUCAACAAUACAAGCACUGACUCAGAAGCCACCCAGUUUAGCAUUCCGCUAAUAGACCUUGAAGACCAUGGUAAUCCAACUAAGCGCAAUGAGAUUGUUGCAAAGUUGGAGAGGCAUCAGAGACUUGGGGCUUCUUUCAAAUAGUGAAUCAUGGGAUACCUGUAGGUGUUCUGGAGGCGAUAAAGGAUGGGGUACGUGGGUUUUAUGAGCAGGACACUCGAGUCAAGAAAGAGUUUUUACACUCGUGAUCACUCUAAACCUUUGUUUUACAAUAGCAACUUUGAUCUUUAUAGUUCACUGGCAACGAAUUGGAGGGAUACUUUUAAGUGUUACAUGGCUCCAUAUCCUCCUAAGCCAGAAGACUUGCCAGAAGUAUGCAGGUAUUUGACAACCCAAUUCUCUGGUUUAAUUGGUGACAGUAACCUGGUGCAGAUUCCUUCCUUGAUGGAUUAGAUCAUUAAACUCCAUACUUUUGACAAGUUUAAUGUGCUUUCCUGGUUUUCAACUUGCAGAGACGUACUGAUCGAGUAUUCAAAGCGAGUAAUGGAGUUGGGGAAAUUGUUGUUUGAGUUGUUGUCGGAGGCCCUUGGGCUAAAGCCAAGCCACUUGAAUAGCAUAGAUUGUAGUAAGGGGCUACAGGUUUUAGGCCAUUACUAUCCUGCUUGUCCACAGCCAGAGUUAACUUUGGGCACAAGCAAGCACGCUGAUGAUUCCUUCCUUACGGUCCUUUCUGCAAGAUCAUAUUGGUGGUCUGCAAGUUGUUGAUCGUCAAAAUAAGUGGAUUGAUGUACCCCCUGUGCCUGGGGCUUUAGUGGUGAACAUUGGAGAUCUUUUACAAGUAAGCACACGUAUACAAUUGCCCUUUUUUUUUCUCCCUAAAAACUACUAUUAAAUUAAGAGAAUAGUAUCGUAAACUAAGCUAGUUUGUUAAUGACUAAUACUCGAGACAAGCUUUGGUCGCAUGUUAGCGUUCUCUUAGAAUAUGUCUUAGAAUUCUUCGAUUAUCAUAAUUAGGUCUUUUAUGUUCAAUUCUUUUUGGGAUUUUCAGCUCAUAUCAAAUGAUAGAUUCAAAAGCGUAGAACACAGGGUAUUGGCGAACCGUGAAGGUCCAAGGAUAUCCAUUGCCAGCUUCUUAGCACAGGUUUGCUACCAUUUACAAAUCUCUAUGGACCUAUUAAGGAGUUGGUAUCAGAAGACAACCCUCCAAAGUACAGGGAGACUACUGUGAGGGACUACGACACCCAUUUCUAUGACAAAGGCCUAGAUGGAACCUCUGCCUUAUCUCAUUUUAAGAUCCCAACUUAGACAUGGAGGAGCACAGAAGCAGAGACCGCAACGAACAAAUCCUGUCUACUAAAUAAUUUGGCAUGAAAAUAUAUAUUGGUUUGUUUAAUCUGAAAGCACUUUCGCACCACAAAAUUCUGGAUAUGCAUAUUAUUUUGUUUUCUGUUUGCAUAUGGUCUAAUAUACUUGUAGAAAGGGUUGGGUUUCUACCCUUGCGUCUCAGGUACGAAACUUCCCCUCCUAUAAAUUAUUGUAAUAGCUUCGAACUCUCUAUCUUCCGCAAAAAAAAAAAAAAAAAAGGGGGGUUUUCUAACACUUCUAUUCAUCAUGUUUACAGUUUUUGUGGCAUGCGCUUAACGAAUUCAACUGUGGUUGUGGUUGCGGUUGCGGUUGCAUAUCAAUACUAUUAUACCAUAAGUGUGGGCUUGUUUGAGAAUGUUUUUGUUUGUAAGAAGCGGUUUUACACAGUAGUUAAAAUAUAUAUAUGUAGAAAGAAAACAUACAAGUUGGUUGACAAAAGGGGAAGAAAAAUUGAGAGAUACAGAGAAUAAGAAAAGAAGAAAAUCGAUGCAAAUUUUAAUAUAUAUGUAGUAGAUCCAGGUAUCCAAAGGAUUCGGGGCUAAUGUACCUGCAUUGAUGAAAAAACAAAGAUGAGAUUUUUUGAAACGCAUCACAUAGUAGUUAAAAUACCUGGCGGUAAAUGAACGGUUUGAGAUAACGCCAUAGUGGCAUCCCUCAGGUGUGAGUUUCUCUCGUAUCGGAUCACUUAUUGUAAGAAUAUCAAUAGUGAAAGUUAAAUACCCGUGUCGGGAAAGGAAGUCGAUGAUGACAACUGACAAGAGAGAAAUUUGGCUUGAAAAAUGUAUGAUGUUUGCAACAUGCGUCAUGAAAACUUAAGUGUCAUGAAAACUUAAGUGUAAAAUGCGACCGGAAAAACACUAAACAGGAUAGCUAUGCUCUCUUAGUGUAAACCUUAACAACAAAGACCAUACCGUAUCUGUCACAGUGAUAUGCGACCAUAAGCCCAACUCCAAGGAACACCUUUCCAAGAGCUUUGAAGGCUACAGAUCAAAAGUUACAUGCAGUGAUGACAUAAUCAUGAAAAAAUACAAUCAUAAAUUAAAGGAAAACAUACUGACUUCUAGUUCUGGCAAUUCACUAUCGGGCCAUAUAUUUGAACCACAGUAUGAUGGAUACCUACAAUACAUAUCAUAUCACAAAUAAAAUCUGAGCAGACACAAAGUAUUAUGUUCUGUUUACGCAAAAUCUGUAAGUUCUCAAAUAGGAUAAAUAAAGAUAAACAUAUCCCAGCAUAAAGACGAUUUGUCCUGGUUAAUUCUAGGAAACCUUUAUCAAAUGUAUGAUAGUUAUUCAUAACUAACACAAACAACUGUUUGGCCAGACAUUACUGGUAUGAGCCAUAUACUGUGUGACCUCAGACAAAAUAGAUCCCACAUGUACUCAGAUUAUGAUUGAUGUCCCUAUUGACUUUUACCUUUGAAUUAGAGAUUCAUCUGUUGUAGGGCUAUCCAAUAUUGGAUUUGCAUAAAACGAGCCUUUUAACGUAUCUGCAAAACCAGAACACAAACGGAAAAUGAAUGAUCCUAAGUUCUUAGAGUUUCCAAAGAAACAAAAUUUAAAACAAAGAACAUAAAGUGAUACCAGGCUUUCCAGAUUCCAGCUUCUCUUUUUCCAUGACUCCAUCCAAAAUUGUACCUAAACAUGGAUGGCAGGUAAAAAGAAGAUAAGCAAUAAAACUUUGUAAAGAUUCCCAAGAAAAGCAAUAAAACUACGUAAAUUAUUAGUUAAUAAUGUCAAGACCAUAGUCUCUGAAAAUCCAAGAGUUGAGAUGCGGCAGGGAUUUUUGGAAUUUUUCUCUAUUGUAAGUAAAACAUAGAUUGAUGUUUGUGUUUACACGAAAAUUAUGCCAACGGCUUAAGAGAAAUCAAAGUAUAACAAUGGGACUAAAAUGACUUACCUACUAUGAGGAUCUUCAAGUUCCUUCUUCACCUCUUCGGGCAGAUUGGCUAAUCUAAUAAACAAAAAGAAAACUCCCAUGAGCAGUGCUAUAACAAACUAUCUUCCUAAAUUCAUUAUGAAUUGCAGUUAAAACUUAAAAUGAACAUGAAAAUCCUACGUAGAAGGGAUAUACCUAGGUGACAAGCCUAGAAGAUUCCCGCGCAAGGAAGAAUAUCCCGGAACCUGCAAUUGAAAACUCAAAGAAACAAUUACAAAGAUGCUAGAAAGAAAAUACGUAUCAGUUUACAACAAAACGCUAGCUCUCACAAGAAUCGAUUAGGUAUGAAGCAUCAAAACAACAGCAUGAGACAUCAUAAUUUAUGAGCUAUGAAUGGAAUAAUGGAGCAAAAUAUCGUUGCCCAAACAGCACAAUCUACAAUCUACAUGACGGAGAAAGUACCCCGACAUUACAUAUGCAAGUUCAUGUGGUUUAUGUGGUUUAUCUUUUUAACCGAUUCGUUAACAAAUUCUUUCUGCACAUAUAGUUUUAACUUACCAAAACUGGUAAUGGAAGAGAUAAUCAGUAAUUAACAACGGUAAUCGCAUAACGAAAUCAUACUUGAGUGAUUGAUAGGAUUCCCAACCCAUUUGGUCCAAAUCCUUCUUCAAUCUUCACUGACAAAUCUUUGUCCCUGUCCUGUAUCAAUCCAAAAUCAAAAAACGAUAAUUAGAAAAAUCGAAUUCUCGACAUGAUCGACGAGUUAAAACAUAGCAAUUAAACAAAACUAUGAAUAAAACAAUUAGAUUCUGUUUGGUUGCUGAGAAUGAAGAGAAUAACAACCACAAAGUCAACUGAAAUAAAAUUUUGCUCUAACUUCAACGAAUUCUCUUGAGUUUCUGAGCACCCAAACAGAAAAAAAAAAAUUAUAGGCAAUCAAACCAAACUCUCAUGCUCAAUUUUCUCGGCAACCACAAAAAGAACUUAGAGGAGGGGGAGAGAGAGAGUUACUUGGAGCUCGGAGUAGGAUAUGGUGACUGGUGUGACGGUGGGGACGACGGGGUCGGAGGACGGAGGCAUAGUUCGACAAUAAAUUUGGCGGGAAAGACGGCGGUUGGAGUGUGACGAUGGGGAAGAAUCCGUGGGAACGAAGAGGAAUUUUGGUGCGGAAGGAGGGUCUUUAUAUCGGAGGGAGGGAGGGAGGGAGAGAGGUUGAGAGCGAAAGGCGUGAUUGUCAAUUUCAAAUUUUUUUUUUUUAGGAAUAAAGAAAGAAAGAGAGGUUGAGUAUCAAUUCCCUUUCCCUCCAAACCAAAGAAUACAUUCACGAUCAUGAUGUGUGUGGCAAAAAUUAAAGGUGGAGACAAAUAAAUUAAAGAGAAUUUUCACGAAAAGUUCAUGGUACGAUUUAUUUUAAUGAAAAAUUAUAUUUUUAUACUAAAAAGUCAAUUUUGAUACUAUUUACUUUACAUUUUAUUUUUGUCAUUAUCGUUAAAACUAAAAACAAUUGAAGCAUUUUUUUACUAUUUUUCCUUAUAUUAAAUAGGUAUAAGUAUUAGUUAAAUUUAAAAUUAAUUGUGUACUAUUAAAAAUUUGUUUGAAAAUGUUUUUAAAAUGACUGAAAGCAUUUUUGAUUAAAAUGUUUUUUAAAUCAAUCCUUAGUAAAACCAAGUGGAUUCUAAAAAGUCAUUUGGAUUACUUUCUACAAAAACCACAUAUCUUGAGCACUUGAAGCACUUUUGGAAUCCAAAAUUAAUUUAACAAAGGUGUGUCUAGUCUUUUUAAUUUUUGAACAAACAAUAUUAUUUAUUUUAAGGGAGGAGAUGAGCUUAACCUCACAAUGGACUAUCAUAUUAAUAAUGUUGUUCAAAUCCACCUUUAUCCAAAAUCAAAUCUAAAACAUCUUACUCACAACUGAAGAGGAAUACCUUUACAUCGUAAUACUAAGCGACAUGUUUUUUUAUUUUUAAGAGACGUGUUUAUUCAUUUUUAAAAGACUUAAAAACCAGCACUAAUUUGUAUUAAAUUCUAAAACCUUUGAAUUGGGAUGUAAUAUGCAUUGGGUCUUUAAUAAUAUUUAAGUUGUUUUCGGCAAAAAAUAAGGGAUUCAAUUGGGAAAAAUAACAAAAUAUGAAAUAAGGAUAUUCUAAUUAAGGUUUUUAUUAAUUAUUUAAGGCGGAUGGUUCAUGUGAAGAUUAUGAAACGCUUUAAUUCUCUAAUGUGCGAUUCCAUUUCGAUCCAAAGUUAAACAGUGACAAAUACAAUUAAGGUUGUUAAUUUUUUUUGGUAAAAACAAUUAAGGUUGUUAUUAAUAUCAAUUCAUGUAUAUUUCCGCAUGUGCCACAUUAUUAAGUUAGGCAGUGAAAAAUAUAUAUCGGAUGUUAUGAGAACAUGUGUGGCUGUCAAGCCCUACACGUGAAUAACAUGCUCUCUACUGCUUUAUUACACCGUGAAGAUUUUAUCCAAAAUUAAUUGACGAUGAGCGAAUAAACUGAAAGAUUAUGCGCAACUUUGAUUAUGCAACGAGUGAAGAGGCAAUUUACACCAACCUCCAGUCAAGAAUUUGGGCUCACAAUCACUAGCCAAUAUGCUUUUUUCUCACAUUUACCCUGACACGGCAAGUUCAUAGUUCAAUAUUCUGGUUCUGGUGUCCUAUGACCCUGACACGGCAAGUUCCACUUUUUGUUCAUUUUCUUGACGAAACCAUCACAUUUACCCUUACGGCACGGCACGGUUCCGGGCAUGGAGUAUGGAUUGGGUUCCGUUGCAGUCCCGACACUACAUAGCACUGUAGAGAAGGAAAUACAAAGACAACUUUGGAUUUCUUACAACGUAUUGAGUCUCUCGUCAUGGCUCUUGCUGUGUUGUUCUUAUUUCACGUCCUGUUUCUCGAGUUUGGUGUUUCCGGUUGCAAAUUUUGGUUCGGCAGUGUAGUGCUCAGGAGAGGGGACUGUCUCACGUUGUUCCAAGCAGACAGAGGCGGUUGACAACGAUUGCGACAAUGUGUUUUUCUACUGGGAGAACAUACAGCAGUCAACAGUUAUCUUUUCACAACCGUCUUCAGUAUUUGGAGGCACCUCAAGAAAUUAUCAAGGACAAACGAAUGUAGAAAAGAAGAAAUAUCAAAGUUAGUUGACAAAAGGGGACGAAAAAUUGUGAGAUACAGAUAAGAAGAUAAGACGAUACUCGAUGCAAAUUUUAACGAGCGAUACAGAGAAGAAACAGCUGCAUUUGGAGACAGCUGCUUUAGUUGCCUUGUUUGUAACAUUAGCUUUCUGCAAUUCCGGGGAAGAAACAGGAGUAAAAAAAACAGAGUCAGGCAGUACCAAAAAAGAAAAAUAUACAAUUAGGAACAAUCGUCACUUCUCAAACUUUGUAGUAGAUCCAGGUUUCCGAAGGACUCGGGGCUAAUGUACCUGCAUUAACAAGAAACAAAGAUCAGAUUUGUGGAAGGGAGUCGCAUAGUAGUUAAAAUACUUGGCCGUGCAUGAAUGGUUUGAGAUACCAUCAUAGAGGCAUCCUCCAGGUGUGAGUUUCUCUCGUAUCUGAUCACUUAUUGUAAGAAUAUCAGUAGUGAAAGUGAAAUACCCGUGUCGGGAAAGGAAGUCAAUGAUGACAAAAGAGCAAUUUGGUUUGAAAUAUUGUGUCCUCGGUAUGAUGCUUGCAACAUGCAUCACCGAAUCCACUUGAAGCUCUCCACCUCUCCAUCUGUUAAAUGUUUCAUAAGCAGCAUUGUUAAAGUUCUCUUUAUUUGGGGGGAUAUUGCAGAUGGUUUUGAAUGAAGAAAGGCAAAAAUUCAUGCUGAAGGCAUAGUUUACAACUAGUAUUUGUAAAAGCUAAGCUCUAAAGUGAGCCUUGAUUCUUUGGCACAAAUAGCUAAAGUUUUGAGAUGGGACAAAAUGGGUCCACAUACAGCGCAUCCGAUGGUGUUGAAAUCCUUUUCCCAGUAAGUCAAAGAUAAGCACCAAGAAAGACAUGACAGUGUUAAACUUAAAACAAAUACAGAACUAAGAAUUGAUGCAUGAAUCAAACAGAGAAAUGGUACAGGCCAUUCUCUUUAUAUUCUUAUAAUCUAAACAUUUCUCCUUAUCAACACUGGAAAAACAGCUUGCUUCAGUCAUAGGAAAUAAAUUGCGCCUAGAGUAUAGAAAAGACAUACCUACAGAUCCUCCUCCUGGACUCUUUGCCGCUAUACGUGAAAACCCAACAUCUGGGAACAACCAAAUUACAUUCUCUGGCAUGGCAAGAACAGUCCUCUGAAAUGUAUCCAUACAAAGUUAAGACACAAAAAACUCAAAAAGGCAAUGUAAUUCACAACAUUGACAAUCUCUGUCUGACAAGGCAAUAAUACCUCUGUAAUGAUCCGGUAGCGACCGUGACCUGAUAGGCCAACACCAAAGCCCAUUGUUAUGCCAUCCAUGAAGAUAGGGCUUCUUGUACUCAGAGAUUUUGCAUAUUAGAGAAUACUCAGCAGUGAAUACCUGAAAAACAUGCAGCACAAGUAUCAUACCGGUAGCCUCUCAAUCUUAAGAAAUGGUAGCUUAGAAAAGAUAUGAAUCCUAUCCAACCACUACAAAUCAUAUUACCCAAGUUCAAGCAAAAUCACGACUAAACAAAUGAUCAGAUGUUGUAGGUUGCCCGAGAAUGUCAAACAUGAAAUUACAAGAAAAAAAACAAUCGUAUGUAUUGAACAUUAAUAAAUACUUGCUGAAAGCACAAUCUUAGCUGCCAUUUAUGACAUUUAUACGAGAUUGAAUAGCCAAAGCAAUUAAAGAAGUAGCAGAACUCAUAUAAGUGAUUUUCACUUUGAACUUUUAGGCUUAUCAGCAAAUACAUCAUUACGAUUCUAACGCAUGAAUUUUGUUAAAAGGGGCUUGCUUGCUUGUAUUAAGGCUUAAUCAUCAAUGAUUUUGCAAGGGUCAAUCGUCUUGAUAGUUGUAAUCUAUGCACUAUGAAAAUUACCAAAAUUACAUCUUAUAUGGUAGAGAAGGAAGUCAUCUUAUAUUAUCUGGAUUUUAGAAAACGGUGUAAGGUUAUAAGUCUGUUAUUCUAUAUAGUUUAAAGGACACAAUUAGACAACAAUCAUAUUUGGUGGUUGGUUUUUGGCCGUGAUCUGCUUCACAUCACCGCCCGCAGGUAAUCUAAAUCUGGGUUAUUACUUAUCAAUGAAUCAAAGUGCCAACUUAUCGGACACCAUCUAUCUCUAUAUGGCAAAAAAAAUAACACAAAAAGGAACAAUGAAGUGAAACAAUAAACAACAUGACAUGAAACAGCACGAACAUCAAAGACCAACAAUCUAUCACAUAAGCACCUAAACAAGAAACAACUUUAGUUCAAAGCAAAGCGUAAUGUAGAAACCUUCGGCACAAGAGGCGUGUUUUUGUCCUUUUGAAUUUCGGCAACAACAACUUUAAUAUCCUUACCUGCACUUACCAUGAUUGCUCACUCUCAAAACCUUACCUAAGAGACCCCAAAACCAAAAUAACUGCCAAAAGAGCUGAACAUACAUAUCUAGAAAAAACUUAUUCAACUACAUGCUAAAAUGGAAGUGUAAAAUUGCCAGGAAAGAUAAGAAACUAUUCAAAUACGAGUUCUGGGCGUUACCGCCACAAAAGGCACGAGCCGAGCGGCUAUCAACAAGAACACACUUCACAUUUGGGUGAGAUUCCCAUUCAUCCAGAUAGCUCUUGUAUUUCACAUCCAAAUCUGCAUUUUCCAACAAUUCCCACUUAAACAGAAACACAAAAUUCUUCCAAAAAAAGCUAACUUCUUCGAAAUUUGAAUCCAACGUUUCGUCUUAUAACAAAUGCAAUAACAUAGAUUUGUAAUCAAUACGAUGCCAUAAAGUUCAAGCUCAAAAAUUCAAAUCAUCUCCAAAUCAAAUGCAAUUACAGAUAUAUACAUAUAUACAUAUACGUUUGUGUGUUUAUCUACAUACCUAGGUUUAUGGCGUUGAGAGCUCGGGGGGUGACCGAGGGUGAUGACGGCGACGCCAAAGGUGCGGAGAAGGCGAGGGGAUUUGGAGGGUUUUGUAAAGAGGGGAUUUGCUCAGAAUUUGGGUCGCUCGUCCCUCUUAUGGGAGUGACUCAAAAAUCGAAAAAGUUGAAAUUUAUUGAUUGUGAUCUGACUCAAACAUGUGAUGAUGACGAUGCAUCACCACCUUGGUUGUGCCUCUGGAUCAAAAACCUACCAUCACCAUCAAAAUCGUGCACAUUUUCCUUCAUAGGCUUGUCCCAUACUAGAUUAACCCCUGUUCCCUUAAUUGUCACAUUAUCAGAUGUACUGUUUCAAAAGUUAUAUCAACUUUAUCCCCGCUUUGCAAAUUGAGCUUAUCGUUCGAUAUUUGUCCCUGCCAAAGAAAACAUUUUCCAGAUACAUUGUGCAUUUUUAUAACCCAAUCUUCCUUGCCUAUGCAGGUCUGCAACUCAGUACGCUUGGUAUUAUUUAUAUCAAUACUGGCACGAGGAUGACCAUCUUUGCAUGUGAAAUAAGGUUUGCUAUGAAUUGAAUAUUUAGGAAUAAAGCAGUAAAAGCA
rnacentral:lncRNA from 1 species